rnacentral:lncRNA from 1 species
CAAGAACAGGACUUUAAUUGUUGUAUACUUACCCUGUGUGCAUUCAAAUAUCCUGUGGAAAACUUUAACAAGAUUUUCCCAUCGUUUUCAACGUGAAGAGAAUAAAUUAUUUUUCUGGGAGGAAGCAAUCUUUGAAAGUUCUGCAAAAAAUUUUAAAAAAAAAAUUGUCAUCUUUUUUUAGAGUUGACGUUAUGAUGACUUCCUUUUAACAUAAAUAUAUACAUAUACAUAUAUAUAUAUAUAUAUACAUAUAGAUGUGUGUAUUUAAGUGAUUAUCUGAUCAGUAUAUAAGAGCUAAUAUUUUUACCCAAAAUUUGUAUUUCUCUUCAUCUAUAAAAAUUAUUGUUAAUUUAAAUUAAAUUGUCACUAUUUUUUUUAUACAAUUAUGUUAUAAUUGAUAUAUACAUAUGUAUAUAUAUUUUUAUUCAAUAAAUAAAAUAUAUAAAGUAUCAAUAUAUAUUAAUUAAAUGCCCAAACCAAUCAAUAUUAAUUGUAAAAUGUAUAUUAAAAAUUAAUCUAAGUAAUCAUAUAGUGGGGCGGCAUUAUUGUGUAUAUAUAUAUAUAUAUAUAUAUUAAUAAAAAGAUAUUAUCCCAUGACACCUGCCCCAUUAAUUAUAAUCCUAUAAAUAUAGCCAAAUUUUUGUAUUGCAUACGUAUGUGAAUAGAAUAAAAUUGUUUUCUAUUUCAAACGAUAUUAAAUUACUGAAAUUAAGUGAGAAGAAUUAUUGUCUUCAAAUUACUUAUAAAUUAACUAAUUAAAUUAGCAAUUAUCACUAUAAAUAAAAACAAUAUUAUAUAUAUAUAUAGAAUAAGAUGAAGGUUUGGUCAAAUUAUAGAAUGUAAAUGCACGCAUAGAUGUCUUUAAUUAAAAUUUCAUAUUUUUCUUAUAUAAUAAUAAUGUUUAUGAAAGUGAUUUGGGAAAGAUUAAUUUAAAAUGAGAGUAUUAAUAUUUAAUUAUGAUGUUUAAAUGACGUCUCCUUAGUGAGCUUCGCAAGGUAGCCGGUGAUGAAUUAAUUUUUUUUAAAAAAAAGAAAUUAUUAAAAAAUCUAUUAAUUUAAUAAUUUAGCAUUAAGAAUUUUAAAUAUUAAUGGAAGAAAAUGACAUACGGUAUACCAACUUUGAAUUCGUUUUUUUUUUUUGGAAAAAAAAAAUAAGUAGCUAAAAAAUUUAUUUAUACGAACAAAAAAUAAAAGUCGUGCAAAAGAAGUGAAACCGAAAAAUCUAAGAGGUUUCAAAAUACAAUAUUAUCUAUUUGAAUUGUGAAAAGAUCGCUAUAUAUGAGCAUAAGCUACUUUAUUAUAAUCUCGAGAGAUUUAAAAAAUAAUAUAACCUUAAAAAAAAUAUUAGAAAUUAUUUUAUAUAUCGUUUAUCAUAUUCUUUCUAUGAGUUAAUCUUGUAUAUAAUUUUAGUGGUAAGAAAUGAGUCUUAUUUUAUUGUUUGUAUAAGAAUAAGUAACGAAAAUUUUUCUAAAAUCGGGAUAAAUUUAGUUAGAAAAAAAAAUUAUACCUCAAUUAUAUUAAGUUAUUGAGAAAAUAUCUUCUCAAUAAAUCUUAAGAUACAAUAAAAUUAAUAUUUAAGUAAUAAGACUAAUUACAUACAUAUAUUUAUCUCUUCGAUAAUAAUUAUAAAUUUAAAACGAAUUAUAUUACCUUAUGACAUUCUAGUUCAAAACAAUCAUUUUUUAAAUCUAAAUUUUUAUUUUUUAUUUAAAAAUUUAGCUCAACUUAUUAAUAAUAUAUGAUUCGAACCGCAUAUGAAACUCAAUAAUCAUUUUUUUUUUUAAUGUAGAGUCAACUUAUAUUAAAUAUAUAUAUAUAUAUAUAUAUAUAUUGGAGUUACGUACCAUUAAUACCUUGGACUUAAAAUGAUAUUUGGGUUUUGAAAGCAUUACAAAUAAUAUGCAAGGUUCAAGUUACAAUUAUGAUACACCUAUAUAUAUAUAUAUAUAUAUUAAAAUAUAAAUCUUUUAUAUUAUUAUGGUAGAAGUUUCUACAAAGUAGAAGUAGAUGGUCAGAAAAAUAAUACCCAAAAAAUAAAAUAAAAUAUUAAUUAGAGGACUAGAUUGAAGAUGAGUAUCACAUGGUUGAUUAAAUUAAUUUAAUAAAAUAUUUGAAAAGAAAAUAACAAAGCAUAGUCAAAAGUCAUAGCCUCGUGCCACUUUUACUUUGAUUAGUUGCAUAAACUUUAUUCAUCAAAAAGAAAUUUGUCUUCUUUACACACUUGUGGAACCAAAAGAUAAAACUUUAAGAAAUCGUCGGUGUGAAUUUAAUUACUAACAAAUUUUACUUGUGUAAAGAACCUAAAUUUUAACAUAGAUUUGUAUUCUACGUGUUAUGUGGUAUUUCUCUACAUCUAUAAAAUUUUAUAACGAAAGUUUGAUUUUUAUCUAACAUACGAAUAAUUAUAUAUUACGUCAUAUAUAAGAGUUAAAUUUUUUUAUCGUGUUUUAAAAUCUAUUAAUUAAGGAACAAGAUCAAGUAAUCAGUUUCUAUGGAGCAUAAGUAUGUAAGGGUUUUCUAAGAUUUGAUAGAAAUUGGUUCUCUGAGUUCAAAGGUAAAAAUUGAACCUGACUGCAAGAUUCACUAGUUGAACAAUAACAAAAAGAUUUUUAAAGGGGAAAAUAGACAGGUAAAUGAUUAUGUUUUUCAAACCCUUUAAUUUCUUUUGUCAAGAUCCUACACAAACAGACCAAACUUGUCAGAAUACACAUUCGGUUCCAAAGAUGCAGGAAUCAAUUUAGCGGACUUGAAGCUUGAAGAGAAUAGGAAAGUUGACUGGUGAGGCCCGUGAAAGAGUCUAGUCAAAAUACUGCAGAUACAGGAAGCAGCUUCGUGAUUGGUAAACGUGUAGUUGGAAAUCUCCAGUUCCACUGUCAAGAAUCAAAUAACAUCAUGGAAUACAGUUUCUCUCUUAUCAAGAAUCACCAAUAUCUUCCCAAAUUCAAAGGGUUAGAAAUUGGUAUCUCGUCCGCAGUUCACGUCCAGCCAUCCAGGCAGGAUACACUCCGUUGGCAGCGUAAAAACUGCAAUUAACUUCAAAUCUGUUGGAGACUGAAUCCAUCCUUUCAGUGGAUAAAUUACUUGAAGGGUAAGUCCGGCUCUUGAUAUCAAGGUGGAUCCCUACUGUUUCAAUUCUUUUGCGCAUCAGACGGAACAGGAGUUGUGAUUGAGACAAGAGGAGGCGGGUGUAGCUCGAGAAAGUUUUUGUUCCCUUCACUAUAGCCACCGAUGCAUAGUGUAUCCCCUCGACCAUGCCAAGUUCCAUCCUGGACAUUGUUCAUUUCCAGAGUUCUGGACUCCUGUUUCAUAUUUGAAGAAUACAAACCAUCAAAUUUUCUAAAACAUGGUUAAAAUACUUAGUGACCAAAUGAGAUUCAAGUCAUAAUAUUUGAUUGAUUCAAGUCAUAGCUGAAGAGUCCCUGUUUCAAGGGUCAACAAAACAAAUCUGCUGAGGAUACAAGUUUAGCACCUGGCAUAAUGCGCACAUGGGACAGAUAAGAUGGUAGAUGCAGUCGUCCAAGAAACUAUCAUUGCCCUGAAAACAAUCAAACAUCCAAAAUCUGUCAACGAAAGCAAUCAAUCGGAACCAGAAACAGCCAACUAAUGCCAAAUACAAGAAAGAUGCCACACAUACAGAUACUAAUUCAUAUACUCGACAAAAUAUGAUAUUAUACAUGUGCAUGACUUAUAUUUUUCUGUGUCAAUCACUAGGAAUUGCUCAAUGGCUGGUAACUUUGCAUAUAUCGAACUUAUCCCGAGGAAAAGUGAAACGUAGGCCUGAAAGGCUAGAAGAAAUCUUGACACAGAAGUAACUCAAAACUUCCAGGAUUUUAUGGAACAAAGACAGACCAUAUCCAACUUUGGAGAAUAAGGGCAACCAAAAACAACCCGGGGAAAUUGAGAAAGAAAGUUAUUUUUCCUAUUAAAAUAAAUGUCAUAGCUUCCUUAUUCCUAAAUUAACUAAUACUGAACGGUUUGUGAGAAAAAAAAAAAGGGACUUUCAUAAAUGCAAUAAAGUUCAUAGUAAACGGUUAUUAAGGCAAAGAAGAAUAGACUUGAUAGAUUCAGUCUCCAUUCUUGCUCAAAUACCCUACUAAAAAGCUAGAGUAUAUAGCAUUAUUUGCAUCGUCAUAAAUGUCCCCACCAAAAAGAUUACCAAACUAAGAAACUGUACACAAAAUCAAUUAAAGCAUCAAGCUUCCACAGAAUUUUGAUGGAGCUGCCCUCUAGAAGUAUGAUAAGUUAUUUUAUAUUACAGGUGGAUAUUGAUGUGAUAUCCCAUUCUAAAACUAUAUAUAAACUCAUAAAUUACUACAAAAAUUAACGAACACCUUAGUUUUUUCCUCUAGUAACCAUGAAAACGGAUACCGUGACAGUAUAUUACCUGUUAAACAAAAUAAUUUCUCCUAGAACCACAUGAGCUGCUCUCAAAUUAAUGUACAAGGAGAUAUUGCAGAUUAUUGGAUAAAAAAUUAAUAGAAAAACAUAAAAUGUUUAGAAGACUAGAAAUUAGGAAGAUAAAUAAUCAGUUCUUACUAUAUAUACCUGAUAUUAGGAUCCUUAUACAAAAUUAAACCUGCAAAACAACUAUUAAAAUCAAACCAAAAGAUGUAUUAAGAUUCUCACCCUUAUAUUAAAUUUCCUUCUUAUUUGUGCGCGGAAGAAACCCAAAUAUAUUCCCACUGAAAUGGUGAAAGCAAGUGCAAAAUACAGAAAGCAAUGGCGCUUGGUGACAAUAUAGGCAAUGAAAUUGACAAGAGCAGUAACAACGAGGAUGAAAUAAACGAUUCCCUGCAAAAUUACAUUUCAUGUAUAUCAAAAAUACUUGAGUUGCCAAAGGAACAAAAUUUAGAUUUGGUAGUAGAAUUAACAGAGAAUGUUUGUAAAUGAAUAACAUAACACUAUUCAAGUAGCUUGAUUCUUACUCUCCGAAAAAAGUAGCUAGAUUCUUAAGAAGCAUAACUUUAUAUUUGAUUUCCAUAAACGCCAUGAUGGUUUUAAGAAUUAUAAACUAAUUUUACCUGAAUAAAACAAGGACCAAAACCGGCCCGUCUCAUGUUUUUCCCAAAUCUGUACCAUGGGCAACUGCAAGAUCAAAUACAAUAUUAUUCAUAAAGCAUCAUAAUAUUACAAUCAUAGAAACCAAUAGUAUCAAUUCCCCCCCAACAGGGGGCUAAAACUGCAGGCAAAGCAUGGAAUACCUAAAUACCCAGAAGAAAAAGGUCAAUGCUUCAGGUGGCAUCAAAGUCAAACUUCCCUGACCUGAAAUUAUUUGGCAAAAAAUCUACCAAGGGAAAAAAUUGCUUUCUCCUAAUUACACUCAAUCAUAAGACUUUGAAAAGAGAACAAUAAGGAAAAUUUUGAAACAAAAAGGAAAAUAAAAACUCAACAUUAACCCGCACGUUUAUUUCAGAUGAAAAUCGAAGUAAAAAAGACGAAUAAAGAAAAAAGCUAUCAUAUCCAAUCUACCAUCCUUUUAGCUCCUACCUAAAACUAAGCCCCCAAAAAAUCUCAAGAAAAGGUAAAAAAAUUUCUGCCGAAACAAACAACAUCAGAAAAAUCCGGAAUUCACGAAAAACACGCCUAAAUUUUUUUCUUCAAAAAAAGAUUCUCAUGCGUAAGGGUUUCUUCACACCAUAGCAUAGCUUGUCUAUAGUUUUCUCCUAGAAACAAAAAAAAUUUCCUGCGAAACAAACAGGGGGGCUGGGAAGACCAAAGAACUCACCAAGCGGAUUCAAUAGCGAUACGACGGUCCUCGCAACAAUCAAGAACCUCACCUUCCCACAUCCUCAAAACCCCACCUAAAUCUCCUCCUUUCUCAUCAUCUCCCGCAUCGACGCUCUCCAGUCUCGUCCACUUUCCUUGCGUCUGCAACGCCACAGUCGAACACAACAUAUCGAAAUCCAAAACCGCCAUCCCCUCAAUCAGCUCCUCCUCCUCCUGCCCUCCUCCACCUACCCCGCCCUUCUCUCGCUUUUCCAAAUCCUCCAUUGACACCGUUUUCCUUCCCUUUCCUUCUCUCUGUCUUUUGCUUUUCCGUGACCUCCUUGAUCUUCCGUGUGUGUUCGUAUUCUUGGAAAGGAUGCUUUUUUUUUUUUUGCUUUCCUUUAAUUAACAAUUUUCUGUUUUUUAAAGGUUUUAAAUUUUAAGUGGGAAUGAAAAUAGUUGGGGGGUGGAAGGUUUAAGUGGCGGGUAAUUAUUAUGUGUGGGUCCCAGUGGAGCCCCAUUAUUGACGGUACAGCUGUUGCCACCUAGGAUCAAGAUUAUCCUAUUUUGCAUAUUUAUAUAUAUACAUAUAAAAUAUUAUCUUAUCAAUUAACUAAUUUAAUUAAUCAUUGAAUCAUAAUCAAUCAAAAUAGGAUUAGUAAUAAUCAUUUUUUAAUUAUUUUGGCCAAUUAUUAUUAUUAUUAUUAUUAUCUUUUUUUAUAUUUUCAUGAUUAUAUGAGAGAGCACUUUUUCUACAGUGAUUAAAUCAAAUAAUUAAGAGUAAAUCUUUUUAAAUUAUAAUUUGAUUAUCCAUUUAAUAUUAUUAUUUGAACUAAUUAUGGGGUUUGCUUUGUUUAAAAAUGGUUUAUAUAAAUAUAAAAAUAUGAGAGGAAAAUGGAUAAGGAAGAAAUUGGGAAAUCAUGUGCAGUCAGCCAACCUCUGAGCUGUCCAAUAAAGAUUGUAAAAGCCUUCUUAGUACUUUAGCCCAUUAAUUGAAAAUCUUAAUAUCAAGUAAUAUUAGGGUUCUUGAGUUUUUUUUUUUUUUUUUAUUAAAUAUAUUUUCUGGGUCCACAUAAUUUUGUCAACUUACUAUUUGAAAUAUAAAAUCUAGAUUUUUCAAAUAAAUUAUUGAAGUGUUUAAAGAAUAUGAACUUACUAUUUGUAUUCAUUUAUUUAUAUUUUAAUUUUACUUUUUUUAAAUAUAUAUAUAUAUAUAAUUAGCAGACACUGAUACAGACACUGGACAUGAUAUGACCAUGAUAAAAUGCUGCAAAACUUGUUUAUUGCAAAAUAAUCAAUGANNNNNNNNNNNNNNNNNNNNNNNNNNNNNNNNNNNNNNNNNNNNNNNNNNNNNNNNNNNNNNNNNNNNNNNNNNNNNNNNNNNNNNNNNNNNNNNNNNNNNNNNNNNNNNNNNNNNNNNNNNNNNNNNNNNNNNNNNNNNNNNNNNNNNNNNNNNNNNNNNNNNNNNNNNNNNNNNNNNNNNNNNNNNNNNNNNNNNNNNNNNNNNNNNNNNNNNNNNNNNNNNNNNNNNNNNNNNNNNNNNNNNNNNNNNNNNNNNNNNNNNNNNNNNNNNNNNNNNNNNNNNNNNNNNNNNNNNNNNNNNNNNNNNNNNNNNNNNNNNNNNNNNNNNNNNNNNNNNNNNNNNNNNNNNNNNNNNNNNNNNGAAGGCAGCCAAAAUGCUUUCAUUGUCCGAAGUGCUUCCUCUUCAUAAGACGUGACCUUAACACUGUUUGCCCCAUGAAAACCAUUCUUGUCUCGACAAUGGUUUCUAUCACUGUACUGGGGAAGAGCACCAUGAUUUUGCUGAUCAAAGGCAUCUAGCUCUCUUGCUUUCUGCAAUGCUAGCUUCUCGUCUUCCUCUUCCUUCUCUUGCUUCUGUUGAGCAGAAUGGGCAGCUAGCUUCCUGCCAAAGAGGGUAAUAAGAUGUUAUAGAUUUAUAACUGAUCAUAGCAUGAAAGGCAGACAAGUAUGAGACAGUACUACAAACAGGAAAAAAUGACUAACAGAAUAUUUUCAUUUUAUUGAGAAAAAGAUAUUGGGUGGAGGGAUCUAUUCUUCUGCUUACCAUAACAAAGCAUCAUCAAAGCAAAGUUCCCAAUUGUAUUGGAUAAUCCUUGUUUUAUAUGUAGAACAGUUACUAAGCUGCAAUAAGAGGUAUUGCCAUAAAGCAACUCUCUUCUUUGAGUAUUUUCACAAAGCCAUUAAGCCAUUUACUCUCAAUACAACUCAAAUAAUAAACUGACUUUUCCUGCAUAACCAAGAAGUAAAGAGACGGCAACACUUCAAAAUUUUAAAACCAAAACCAUUAUCCCAAGCUUUACAUCCCAAACCUCUUAUUUGUCUUCUGCAGUAAACUGUCAUCUUUCUGCAAUUUAGCAAUAUGCUGAACAUAUGUCGUUUCUGCAGUAGCAUACAUUCCAAAACAGAGCCAUAUAACUUCUAUUAGUUGCUAUAUGCCCACCAGAAUAUACGGUAACAAGUUCCUCUAACGUACGACUUUUAAACCAUAAGCAUCUUCUUACAAUAGCAUUAUGCGUAUUUCCAGUCUGAUCCAUUAACCCGACGUCCUCCUGUUGCCACUUCCUAAAUGUAACAUGAUCUGACACGGGGAAAAGAAACCUUAACAUCCCGGGCAUAUUCUGAAAAACUUAGUAGUGGGCUUUUAAAAAAGCCUAUGCUGCAACUAUAUAGGAUUAUAAUGUUGUAACAUGAUCCUCGUGUUAACACACACUCUAGCUAAGGUCAUCAUCACCAAAGUACAUACAAAGAAAGAAAUAACCACAGCAGCUCAGGGGAGUGCCACAGUUGGCACAGGAACUUCCUUAACACGAUCACCAUCACCAAAACUUGCCAACAAUCAAACCCAGUUUGCACAAAUCACUUUCCUAGCAUUCCCACAUCGUCUAUUUCACUCAAAUGAUUUAGUAAAACCAUUAGCACCAUCUAGUUAUAAUUCCAAUCAUUACAACUUAAAUCACAAGAUUUGAAAAGGUAUACACAGAUCUCAAUCCUGAAAUUGCAUGAAAAUUUACACCAAAAAACGCGGAUUCUUUCAUCAAGUAAAAUAAAAAUCACAGAUUUACCUCUGUAUGUCUUUUUUCUGGGCGAGGAGGCACUCGAGGAUGCACUCUUUACAGAAGACAUGACCCUUUUGGCAGCACAAGGGGUCGAUGAAGGGCUUCAAACAGAGGCAGCAAACAUCAAACGGCUUGAUCGAAUCUUUCCCCAAUCUCUCCUUCUGGGUUCCAUAACCUAGCUUUCUCUUCUCGUCGUAAGUGAAAAACGCUAAGUCGUUGUUGUUCUUCGAGUGUCUCUGUGGCAUCUCUGCGUUAUCGCUUUACGAAAAAGAGAAGAUACUAAGCUGAUUAACGUCUCGGAUUGGUAUCGGGUUUAGAUUUGAGUGAAACCCUAAAUUAUAUUGAUCGUCUCUCCAGUAUGUCGAAUUUCAUUGGGUUUUGUUUUCCGUUUAGGAUCUGGAAUUUGGGGAUUAAGCACAGGGGGAUAUUUUGAGGUGCGUCACCGCCCAACAUAGGUGCUUGGAAAUUUCAUCUUCACCGUUGUUGACUUAUCAUCGAACGGUCAGAGUUAGGGUAUCUCCUUUUUUGUGAUAAUCUGAAAAUUCAACGGUGGAUGCAGAUACAUUACUAAUUGGAAUAUCUAAUAUGUUCAGUCUCGAAAAAUAUAUACAUAUUAGACGGGAAAUUGAAAACAUUUUUUUAUUUUUUAUUUUUUAUUUUUUAAAUAUGAAAAUAGCAUAUAUAAUAAUUAUCCUUAAAAAUUUAAAUGUAAAAAUAAAAUUAAAAUUUCAGUAAACUUCACAUAGAACAAAUAAAUUUUAAAUAUAAAAAUAAAAAUUAACAUAAUUAGUACAUAAAAUUUUAGUUGUUUACAUAACUUAAUUUUAAUUUAAUAAAAUUUUAUUAUACUUUAGUAAAAAAUUAUUUAUAAAAAUUUAGUUAAAAUAAUUAUAUUUAUUUAUUUAAAUUCUUAAAAUAUAAAAAUAUAUUUUCAUUUUUAGUUGAUUGCAAAUACAUAUACAUAAUAAUUAGUUAGUUAAAAUUUUAGUUUAUUACAAAAUUUUUAUAAGUAAUUAUUUUAUAAGUUUUUAAUAAUUUAUUUAUUUUUAACACGGUAAUGCAUAUAAUAGUUAUUUAUUUAAUUUUUUAAAUAUAAAAUAAUAUUUAAAUAUAUUAAAAUAAAUGAUAUUUGUUUAUUUAUUUAAUAUAAUAAUAUGUAAUUAAAAAUUAUAUAAUGAAUAAUUUUAAAUAUAAAAAUAAAAUUAAUAUCAUAAUAUUUUUUAAUUAAUUUUAAUUAAACUAUAUAUUUCAAAAUUAUACAUUAUCUAAAUUUCUGACUACUUAUUUUCUUCUAAACAGGUCAUUCAUUAUAUAGAUUUCAUUUAAAAUAUUAAGAUACAUUUAAAUUUUUAUUAGAAAGUUUUCAUUUUUAUAUAUAAUUAAAAGUUAAUGUAAAACCAUAUUUUAUGUAUAGCGCAUAGUAUAAAUUUAAUAUUAAAUUAAUAAAUAUUUAGUAUAGUAUUAUUUUAUAUAAAAUUAAUUAUUAAGGAAAAGAGAUUUAGAUCGGUUUCAGGGGCCGUACCCAAAUGAAACACAAUCGGGUCGGGCUCAUUUGCAGGGAGAGGAGUGAGGCUGUUCGGCGAGUCAAUGGUAAUAUAUAUUCAUCUUGUCGGUUUCUUAGGUUGAGAGGAGGAGUAUGUCAAUUCGUCGUUAACUACGAGGGUUUGAACGAGACGCUUCGAAGCCGCCAAAUAGAUUGAGAGAAGUCUACAAGCUGUGGUUUUUCACAGAAGCUUACCAGAGAGAUGGAGGCUAGGAAAUGUGUUGCAAAACAGCCUGAGAAAGACGACGACGACGACGAAGAUGAAGGAAGCGUCAUAAAAGAUGCAGUGCCUCAGUCGAGUCAGUAAUUAACCAAAUUAAUCUGUGAUAUUUAACAUGUUUCUUGGGUGAGUCUCCUUUUAAUCUUUUAUCACUAUGUCUUUGCAUUGAGGAAAAAAAGAAAACAGUUCUGAUAUUUCAGUUCAAUCAUUGGUUGUUUAGGUCAAGCCAUGAACUUGACUCGAAAAAUGAUGCGGGUGACUUUAUUUAGAAUCUGGGUCUAUUUGGAUUAAUCGUGAAUUUUGUUUAAAUUAUUUGGGUUUGUUAAAUGUGAUUGAUUGGAUUUUUGAACCUAGUUUCUUGUAUUUACAUCUAAAUAUAUGUUCGACUCUAUCAGGUCAAGAGCUCUUGGGCAGUGAGGGGAAUACAGAUGGAUACUGGAACUAAAUUCUCGUAAGUUUCAUGGUAGUUCUCUGGUUAUCAUUUUCAGUUAUAUACCAUAAGCAAACUAGUAAACCGAUUUUAAAAACUAAUUUAUCGAUAUUGUGGUUAUAAUUGGUUUGUGUAGGAGAAUCUAUGGCAGAUUGUGACAUUUAUUUAUUGUAAGCGCAAUAAUGUUAGUUUUUACAUUAACAGCUUUUUAGGUUUAUAUACUACUUGAUGCAGUUCUUGGAAUCUGGCCUGAUUUGUUAACAUUCGCUGUGAUGACUGCAUGGACAUUUCCGCUGUUUAAAACUUGGGCUUUGGUUUAGUCACAUUUUGCAUUGACCUAUAUACAUUGAGGGAAUUCAUUCAUUUAUGAACAAAUAGAUUAAUUUAAAAGUGCUAUACCUUAACCAUGACCAUGCACCGUUGAUCUAACUCCGCACUGGUGGGAUGUGAAGUCUUCAGUUAUGAAUGGUUCAUCAAAUUUCUCGCAUCCAUUACUCUUCAAAAUCUCAAAGAGUUAUGUCUUAUGCAUAUCAUUUUGACUAAUACUGAUUGGACAAGAAUUUGGUUGAUCCUGUCCGGUGCUGAAAAAUAUGCAUGUAUGGUAAUCUGAUCUUUCCCCAGCUAAGUUUCUAAAUAUUUCUAUCCUCAAAAUGAAAUUUCAUCCUAUCAUUAUCAUUGGCUAAAUGAUUGAGACCAAACUUCAUCCAGCAAGUCAACCAAUUAUGUUUCUUGGGAAAAUUUGACAGUACUAUAAGUUUAGGAACUUGUCCUCUAUAUAUCAUGCAGUUGUAAAGUUGGAGAAGGUAUACUCAGUCUGUAGCUUAGGGAAUCUCUGAUCUCAUCCAACUAUCCAUAAAUGAAUCUCUGCCCAUCAAUAUAAAUCUCUAUUUUCCUUGUCAUUUGCAGUACAGGAUAAUGUAUCAUCAUGUUAUGCUAUGGCACUGCAGUUUCUUUUCUCUCAACCAACAAUCAUUAGAUAUAUGUAAACUGAAUGACAUUUUACACCAUAACAGAUGCCUCCACCUGUCUGUUUGGUCAGUGGUCAACCAAGAAAUGCACUCACACGUUUAUAGUCCCAAAGUGCCAAAAUGCAUUGAAUACUUUUUCAUGCUUCUAACUUCCAGAACCCAAAUUUACUCAUGCUUGAUGCACAUCGACCUGCUAUAUUGUUUGUUGGGCCACCAUGUUAUUACUGAAUACAAAUGCUAGCUGAUUUCUUAAGAUUGUAUAAAAAUGUUUCAGCACAAUUUGGAAGACAUCAAGCUUGCUGGGAUCCAGAAUUAUAAGGAAUAUUUUUUAUAAAAGGAAGUAUUUGUUUUACAGGAAGCGAAGUUGGCUUGGUGAAUUUGUUCCUUGAGGACCUUCUGUUCUCCAAUAGAUUGUGAGCAAUCUAGCCUAGAGAAGCAUGUUCAAACUGAUGAUGGAGAGACAACCAAAAUAAAUGCUAAAUUCGUAUUUCUAAAAUAACAAAGUGCUUCAAAAAAGCAGAAAUGGCUCUCUCAUAAUUUCAGUUAUGUCAUAAAGGAGGUAAGUUUUUAUAUCCAUUCUGUCCUUGAAAUUAAGAUCUUUAUUUUUUUGCGUUGCAUUGUCAUCUUUGUGGUGCUUUAUUUCUCUACCUUAUAAUAUAACUAAGUUUGCCAAGGGGAAAGUUAUAGAAGGAAGAGUGAUAAAUAAUACUAAUGGCAAAAACUGACCGUAAUCUUAUUAUUCCUCGUGUUAAAAAUCUUUCUCCGUCUGCCAUCUUUUUCCUUGUUAUAACAUUAAUUUUGUUCAGAAGAAAAUAGGUGCAUACAAAUGAAGAGGCAUUGAGUUUGUGAAACUCAUUUACAAAAGGAAAAGUUACAAAGUAGUUAAACUAUCAAUAAGAUCCCCAAAAUUUUCUACUAAUGGAUGAUCCUUAAACGGAAAAAAGAAGGUUUCUUCUCUUAACUUUUCAAAAGAAUUACACAUCCUCAAAUGGCCUCUUAUUUUUCUCCCUCCAAAUAAUCCAAAUGGGAACCAGUGGAAUGAGAGAGAGAAGCUUUUACUACUCUUAUCACCUUGAUUGUCAUGCCAAGCCCAAAGCUCAUCCUCUAGACUACUAGCCAUGACUCGUUGCACCACCUCAAAUUCAGUAACCGAACGCCAUAAAUGCUAGCAAAAAUAACACCACAAAAGAAUAUGCUCUGUGGUUUCAAAUUCUCUAGUCCCUGCUUCCUAUGCAAAAAAGGUGGGGGGGGGGGNNNNNNNNNNNNNNNNNNNNNNNNNNNNNNNNNNNNNNNNNNNNNNNNNNNNNNNNNNNNNNNNNNNNNNNNNNNNNNNNNNNNNNNNNNNNNNNNNNNNNNNNNNNNNNNNNNNNNNNNNNNNNNNNNNNNNNNNNNNNNNNNNNNNNNNNNNNNNNNNNNNNNNNNNNNNNNNNNNNNNNNNNNNNNNNNNNNNNNNNNNNNNNNNNNNNNNNNNNNNNNNNNNNNNNNNNNNNNNNNNNNNNNNNNNNNNNNNNNNNNNNNNNNNNNNNNNNNNNNNNNNNNNNNNNNNNNNNNNNNNNNNNNNNNNNNNNNNNNNNNUUGAAAGAAAAAAAAAGAUGAUGACAAGUAAAUCAAGUACAGUUUUAGAAUUUAAGUUAAAUAUCAUAAAGGUCCAAGUGCUAGCUUGGCCUGGCUUCUGCUUCUGCUGUUAAAAGCAAAAGUCUUGCCAAAUGCUGAAAAAAAUAAGUAUUUUUUUAGCUAAAGCAUGAGCUGUUUUUGCCUUUGAUACAGAUGGAAUCAGAAGCUGAAAAUAAAUACUUUUGAUAAAUAGUUUGUGUUGUAGGAGACAAAUAAUAUUUUAAAUAAAUAAUAUUUAUUAACUGUAUAUUUCAUAAGUUAAUAAACAAUCUAAAACAAAAAUAUAAUAUUGAUACUUUAUUGAUAAUUUUAUGUGUAUUAUAAUUAUCUAAAUAAUAUUUAUUUUAAAAUAAUUUAGAUUAUUAGAAUAAUUUUUAGAAAAAAUAAUGUUAUUUAAAUAUUUAAAAUGAUUAAUUUUUUGUUGUUAUCUAUUUUUUAUUAUGUCAACAUUCAUUAUUUUAUAUGAUAAUUAACUAAAUAUUGUACUAUUUUUAUGCCAAAGACACUUUCUACAACAAGUUUUAUCAAAAACUAUACUCUUUUUCAGGCUAUUUUUAGGUACUUUUUUGGCUCACAGUUCAAUCCGCAGCUGCUUCAAAUGGAUCCUAAGUAAAUUAAUAGAAUAACAAAAUAGUUUAUAAGCAAAUCCAACAUAUCAUUUUCUUAUCACAGGCUUUAUUGUACUGGCUAAUUGAUAAAAUAUUUGAAAGAAAAAUAAAACGAUGACAAGCAAGUUAAGUAAAAGUUUGGCAUUUAAGAUAAUGGCAUAAAUGUCUAAGCCUACUAGAUAUCGUGACCAAAAAAUAAUUUUUAAGCCAACAAAACCUCUUUUCCUUGUCGCUCGUCACAGUCAUACCUAACAGCCGCCGUUCUUUUUCUCUCCAACAGCAAAGAAAUUUUCUCUGUGCUCCGACAACUUUACUCACCGGUAAAAGGUGAAAAAAAAUCUACCUCUCUUUGUUGGAAGAUUUGGCUUCCAUUGAACCAGAUAAGAUAGUGCUUCUGCACUUGGCACUUCUAACUACUGAAGAUUUCUUUUUGGUAGGAUAUAAAGGUUUUCUCUUCAAUUUCGUUAUGUUGUAUGUUUGUCUUCAGUUUUUCUGUUUAAAUUUUAUAUCAUUUAUCCAUCUUGAUUUGGGUUGACGGGGUUAGGGUUAUCGAAUUUUUUCAUUCAUCGACUUCCCCCCUAUUUUUAUGAUAGAUUUUAUCUUAUGUUUCCUAAUAUUGCUAUCAUAAUUUUAUAUUCUAUCUUGUCUAUUGCUCUGGUAGAAUUUUAUUUUGUUGCUUACUAGUGGGCUUUACAAGUUACAGCAGUGACAAAUUAACUUGUUAUACUGGGAGUUGUGAAUUGCUUUGAUAUUCUCUUACAAAAUGUUCUAGAUCCUCCCUUGCCUAAUUAAUGAGUGGAAGCAUACAAGUAAGAGUUUUUUGUAGUAUAUAAGAACCAAUUUCAUGGGUUUGAUGCUCAAUUAUGUUGGUGGUUCAUUUAUAAAAGGCUUCUUUUCAAUAAAAUUGCUUUUGCUCCGGAAUGGAUUGGAAUCUGAACUAUUGAUUUCUAAUCACCAAUUUCUUUUCAGAAGCUUCUUUGCCAAAUAAUGAAUGUCCUUUUUGUUAUGAGAGAUGCCAUUGAAUUUUGUCAAGCUUUAUUGCACUCAGAGCUUCUUUGUUUAGCAGUCUCUGUUACAUUUUUUUGUUGAGACAAAUGGUGAGAAGAAUGUCAUAUAAAAAGUAAUUACUAGGGCUAUAUCUGCAACAAAAGAACUUCAUUUGUGGAACUCAUUUGGUAAUCCAAAUUUUUUUACUAAAUAAUAGUCAAUCGUAGAUUUACAUGAUAAAAAUUGACAUCCUAGAGAAUUUUAGGUGAAGAAUUCAUAGAAUUUAGAAUUCAUUGUUUUAAAAAUAUUUGGAAUUUCCUUGGAGGUCAACUUUUAACAUCUUCAAUAAUAUUUUCAUCAUUUUGUUGUCGAACUCAGAUUUUCAAAUAAAUUCCAGGAAUAAUUCUUUUGUGCCAAAUACAGUCUGAGUCUGUUAUAUUCUUCUUAGUGAAGAGUUUUCUUAAUCCUGUCCUUAUAACAUCCUGCUUAAGAAAUGACACAGAAUUGAGAAUCAACUUACUAGGGAGAUUAUGUGAAAAUGGAAGGGCUAGGAGUAAAUCUCUAAAGAAGGAUAUUGCAGCUAUCAUGAAUAUGGAAGCGAUUUUGUGGAGACAAAAAGUUAGGGAGAAAUGGUUAAAAGAAGGGGAUAUGAAUACAAAAUUUUUUCGGCGAUUUUGUGGAGACAAAAAGUUAGAGAGAAAUGGUUAAAAGAAGGGAAUAGGAAUACAAAAUUUUUUCGUAGUAUGGCUAAUUUCAGAAGAAAAAAUAAUCAUGUGGAAGAGCUCUAUUUUAAUGGGGAGGCUGUCAAGGGGAAUGAAGCAAUGAGGCAGAGAUCAAAGCUGUUUUUCCAGCAACUGUACAAAGAUGAAGAUGGCAGAAGGCUGAUGACCGUGUGUAUUGAGAUUUUGUAAACUAUAUAUUGGAGANNNNNNNNNNNNNNNNNNNNNNNNNNNNNNNNNNNNNNNNNNNNNNNNNNNNNNNNNNNNNNNNNNNNNNNNNNNNNNNNNNNNNNNNNNNNNNNNNNNNNNNNNNNNNNNNNNNNNNNNNNNNNNNNNNNNNNNNNNNNNNNNNNNNNNNNNNNNNNNNNNNNNNNNNNNNNNNNNNNNNNNNNNNNNNNNNNNNNNNNNNNNNNNNNNNNNNNNNNNNNNNNNNNNNNNNNNNNNNNNNNNNNNNNNNNNNNNNNNNNNNNNNNNNNNNNNNNNNNNNNNNNNNNNNNNNNNNNNNNNNNNNNNNNNNNNNNNNNNNNNNNNNNNNNNNNNNNNNNNNNNNNNNNNNNNNNNNNNNNNNNNNNNNNNNNNNNNNNNNNNNNNNNNNNNNNNNNNNNNNNNNNNNNNNNNNNNNNNNNNNNNNNNNNNNNNNNNNNNNNNNNNNNNNNNNNNNNNNNNNNNNNNNNNNNNNNNNNNNNNNNNNNNNNNNNNNNNNNNNNNNNNNNNNNNNNNNNNNNNNNNNNNNNNNNNNNNNNNNNNNNNNNNNNNNNNNNNNNNNNNNNNNNNNNNNNNNNNNNNNNNNNNNNNNNNNNNNNNNNNNNNNNNNNNNNNNNNNNNNNUCGGGCUUAUGGGGUUGAAUUAGGUCAUGACAGGUAGUGUAAGUAAUAAACUAUGGUCAUGACAGGUAGUGUUCGAGCUUAUGGGAUUGAAUUGGGUCAUGACAGGUAGUGUAAGUAAUAAACUAUUGGCAUGGAUAGGGUUUUGUAAAAAGAAAGGGGAUUUGUUUCUUCUUCCACUUACCAUUUUUUGGGUGAUUUAGAAGGAAAGAAAUGUGAGAGCUUUUGAGGGUAUAGAAACUAACUUUCUAAACAUUAAGGAUAGAUGGAUGCAUACUUUUGAUUCUAUUUUAUUAGGUCAUAAUAUUAAUGAUUGGGAAGAUAUUGGUUUAGUCAUGAACCACUUGAUUGAUAUGUAAUUAUUUUGUAUAUGGGUGGUAUCUCCUUGGUACUUAUAUGCAUAAUAAUACUUGUAUUUCAAAAAAAAAAAAAAAAGAAUCAACUUACUAGCAUAACAUUAUUUGUCUCUAAUGUUUUACUGUCUCCCUCUCUCUUUAUCUAAUCCUAUGAGAAUCUGGAAGAGAGGGUCAAACAAGCACCUGUUUACCCAUAAAUGUAUUGAUUUCAAAGAAAAGGAUUUCAUAUUGCAAAUGCUACAACUUUAUUGUUCCAUGCUGCACAUUUAUUUUUUACUAGAGACAUGAAAGAUUCAUCCUUUAGCUUUAGUGUCAUAUGAAAAUUUCUUGUUAUUAUAUCACUGGAAUAGUUUAUCCUGCUAAUGAGGUUUUGGUUUUUGACAUGUCUAAAUCAUAGGAAAAGUGGGCUUCAUUUCUUAAGCAAAUGUCAAGAAAGCAAAUGAGGCACUCAUCUCUUCAGGAGGAAAGUGCAAAGGAAGAACGUGAAGACAGACUAAGCAGUUUACCUGAAGAUCUUUGCAAGCAUAUUCUCUGUAUGCUACCCAUACAAGAUGCAAUUAGAACAUGCAUUUUGUCCAAAAAGUGGAGAUAUACUUAUCAGUCUCUUCAGAAUCUUGUAUUUGAUUCCUCACAAUUUACUGAUGCUGAAAGUAGACCUGAUCAUUUUGUGGAAUUCAUAGACCAGUUACUCUUGCACCAUGAUGACUCAGAUAUACCAGUCAUCAAAUUUAAAUUAUGGAGUGAAAUAGCACGCUAUAAAUUAAAGACGAAAUGGAUUGAUUUUGCUUUGAAGCAUAAUGUUGAAGAUCUUGUUAUUGAAGCUCGUGUUGCUGAACCAAAAGGGUUUAGCCCCUGUAUCUUUUCCUCGACAACAUUGAAAAGAUUUACUUUCGUCGUCGGCUUCUAUAUUCUCAAACGGCCAACAUCCGUUUAUCUUCCUAGUCUUAAAGAAUUGCGACUUGGGGGUGUCAUUUUCAUUGAUGGUGAUCUGACAAGGGAAUUGUUCUCAUCGUGUCCGAUGCUGGAAUAUGUGCAUUUAUUAAAUUGCGAUAUGUUUCGUCUAAAGGUUCUAACUGUUUCUGCUCUCAGACUCAAGUAUUUUCAUAUAGACUAUUGUCGUGGGCUCCAAACAAUUGAGAUGAAUCUUCAUACCCCUAGUCUUAUAUCACUUAUAUGGAGGGGAAAUCUUGCACAAAUCUAUCAUAUAAGGGGUGGCCCAUCUGUUCAUUAUGCAGAUAUUCAAGUUGGAGACAUUUACAGAAGCCAAACGAGUAUAGAUGUUCUCAGUCAAACUACUUUUAAUUUGCUUAAUGAACUCUGUCGUGUUACUGUACUAGCUGUGGAUAAUUUGUUCUUGGAGGUAUGUGUUCUGUCGAUUUCUUAUACUUAUUUGAUUUUCCUUUAUUUUGGUUAAUAACUCUUGAUUAAUGGAUAAAGAUCUUCUUAGUGUUCCUUUUAAAGAAUACGACUACCCUCAUGAUAUUUUUUGGUGUUGCAGCUUCUCUUCUACAAGGCGAGUUCUCCAUGGAUAUAUGCAAAUGCAAUUACUUUUCACAACCUGAGCAAUGUCUAUAUGUCUGUCUGGCCAUCCAAGAAGCAUAUUCAGAUGAUUGUAAUCCUCCUCAGUAGAAUGCCGAAUGUCCACAGCGCCCACUUUCUCAUGCUUGUUAGUUCAUAAACUUCAAUUCUUUUUGUACUCAAUGCAUAUUUAUUAACCACUCUCGUUUAGGGACAGCACAGUCUUAAGUAUUCUAAAUGGAAGCUUACUAUUAUUAUUAUUUAUGUACUUUUCUUAACUAUAUUAAUAUGUGUAGGCACAAGGGCACCCUUCGCAUGCGUCCGCUUUGGAAUGGAAUGCUGAAAACCUUGAGACCAUUGGGAUGCCAAAUCUUCUGGAAUAUAUUUAUGUUGACAAAUUUGUUGGACAUGAGAUUGAUCUUUACCUGGUGAAAGUUUUCCUUGAGAAUGCAAAAUCAUUAGUUAAGCUGACAAUCUCUACCUGUUGUAAUGAUAUUGAUGGAAAGAAGCCUGAGAUUAUUGAGAAGUUAAUGGCACUUCCAAGAGCUUCAACAAAUGUGGAAGUACUUCUCUUGUAACGUAAUUUUAGUUGCUGAAAAGAGGUAAUGACGUUUUUCUACUUAUUUUUAACACAAUCAAGAGGUUCUCAUGUUUGUACUUAAUGAUAUGCCAUUGCCAAUAUUCGGUUGAGAAGUGGUUGGGUUAAAUUUUUUUCUUGGCAAUGCUAUAAAGUAAACGUUACUGCUUAUUGCUGGGAAGUUGUCCAUUGGGAAUUUGGGACUUGGUACUGAAAUGCUCAUGCUUUUGUCGGCAAUAUGACCUUACUGUUGCCUAAAAAAAAAGUCUAAUUAUUGUUGCCUUGAGCUUUCUAUUGGUUCCUGCUAUUGGUUUGUGAAACUGGAAAAUGCAAUGCUUGGUUGGCUUUAUUUUUAAUGUUUGUAUCAUUUUCCUGAGGAGUGGACAAUCAUAUGUUAGCUAUAUUUUUAGGGACUUUUAUUUUUCUCCCCUGUAGAAUGCUUAACUCAUAGCUGCAGUAAAUGUUUUACCCAAAGGGAAACCUUUAACAAGUACAAUUUUGGCGAGUAUCAGAUUGUUUUAAAGUCCUUUUUAGUUGUUUCGAGAUUCCUAAAUGAAAGAAACAAGAAAAAAGAAAUGCCUCAUUCUUUACUGAUUUCAUUUUACUGUUUCUCUGCUUGCAGGAAAAACUUAAGAGAUCUCUCGUAAGGAUUCCUGUUUAGAGAAGGAAGAAGAUUCGCGUUUAACAUUGACAGACAAACUCUUGAGUCUUGGGAGACUUACAAAAGUGAGGCUGUGAGAUCCAUUUGAAGAAAAUAAAGAAAAAGGAUGGUGUUAACUUAAUAGGCCAAUAAUAGUUUAGCUACUUGAUGAAAGCCGAUGGAUGCUCUGUUAGAUAUAAAAAUGUAUAUUUUAUAGAAACAAAGAUGUGGAGCUUGUUUGUCUUUCUGUACUAAUCCUUUUGGAUGGAAAGUAAUGUAAUUGCAAAACUUUUGGAAUUUAAAGUAUUCAUCAUUGAAGGACUUUUGCUAGUUUGGAGAACGAUAUCUUCUGUUCCUUCUCUUAUUUGCUUCGAUCUAUGGGAGGAAAAAUUGAUUGUUGGCCGAGUCUGUAAAAGAAAAACUUUUGAUUGGGGAGACAUUUGUAAGAAAAAUUUUAAUUCUUAAUUGUCGAUGGUUAAUGAAAGUUGAACAUCCUGAAAAAUAAAUUAUAUGUUCGAUAUUGUUUAAUUUUUAAAUUUUCAAUUGAUCAACUAAAUCUAAUUGAUUUUAACGAACAACAUGUCAAUUUCUCUGCUUAUAUCAUUGCACAACAUCUUAUUGAAGAAAAGUAAUUGAUCAUAAAUUUUGCUUUGUUAAUGACUUAAAAAAUUGUGUAUUACCCUUUUUCUCUUUAGAUGUAAUUUAGUUUUAUUACAAUAAUUUAAAGAAUUUCCGCCAUGAGUUUGCUCUACUAUUUUAUUAUUAUGUUGGACAUGAGAUUGAUCUUUAUCGGGCGAAAAUUUUCCUUAAUAAUGCAAAAGCUUUGGUAAAAUUGACCAUCUCUACUUUUUGGAAUAGUACUGAAGGUGAUGAUGGAAAGAAGUAUAAGAUUAUUGAGAAGUUAUCAGCAUUUUCGAGAGUUUUAGCAAAAGUAGAAGUACUUCUCUUCUAACUAAAUUCCAUUGCUGAGAGGAGCUAAUAACAUUUGUGCUAUUUAUUUUUCAAUCAAGGGGUUCCCAUGUUUGUACUCGAAUUUCUUAUGUUUGUAUUUAGAUUAAUGAAAUGCCCUUGCCAUUAUUGGGUUGAGAGUUGGGUGGGUUAAAUUCUUAUUCUCAUCAAUGCUAUAAAGCAAACAAAUCUUUUUUUUUUUGGUAAAAACUAUUAAGUAAAAGUUUCUGCUUAUUGAUGGGAAAUGGGGGUCUCAGUACUGAAAUACUCAUGCUUUUGUUAGGUAACAUUAACUGAUUCUUGCUUUAAAAGAUUAAAAAAGAUAUCUAAUUAUUAUUGCCUUCAGCCAACUUUUGGUUCCUGUUGUUGGUUUGUAGAAGAAAAAUAAAAUGCACAGUUGAAUAUAUUUCCAAUAUUUCAAUCAAUUCCUCUUCAUUAGAUGUUCAUAUUUUCUGUUGGCAAUAUUGUAAAUAUUUUUUAUUAUUGUCGUCGAUGGAAUGUUUCGGUGCAAUUCCACGUAGCACUUAACAAGUUAAAUUAUGAUAUGCGUGAGAUUGUUUCAUGGUCCCUUCUCAUUUCAAGGUUUCAAUAAGAGCGACGAAUAUUUUUACAAAAGAAAAAUAAAUAGUUCAUGGUCAAUGGCUUUCAUCUAUGUUUUUUACCGGUUUGUGAGAAAAUCCAACAAAUCUUAGAAGGGUUUCUAUAAGUUAGAAUCAAGAAAAUUGACAUUUGACAUUGAAUAAAUAACAGUAUGAGAAUAUAAUCUUCCCUAGCGACUAACUCUAAAUCUUUCAACCUUCAAAAAAAAGAAUUUUUCAUCUUAUCAUUAUAACUGGCUAAGUAAUUAAGAACAAUCUUCAUACUGCAAGUCCUAAAUACUUGUCUUCAGGAAAAAAUUUCAAGAUACAAGUUUAGGAACUUGUCUUCUAUGUAUCAUACGGUUGUUCAAGUUGGAAAAACAUACAAUCAUAUUGCUUAGAAAAUCUUUUAUAUCAUUAAAUUAUCUGUAAACAAUGAUUUGUGAUAGUAUAAUCUUUGGCCAUCCCAUAUAAAAUUCUCUAUUUUUGUUGUUUUUUGUAUUAUGAAAUUGUGUAUUAUCAUAUUAUGCUCGGUGCUGCAGUUUCUCUUCUAUAAAUGCAACAAUCCUUUGACACAUACAAAUUGAAUUAUAUUUUUAUACUGUAACAGAUGUUUCUGCUUGUCUGUUUGGUCAUCUCUCAACUAAGAAAAAUAUAUCAAAAUAUAUAUAUUUAUAUAUAUGCAAGCUAAUUUUUUAAGAUUGUAUGUAAAUGUCCAGAAACAAUUUUGAAAACAUCACGAUUGUUAUGAUCCUUAGUUUUAAGAAAUACUUUUUGUAGAAGAGUUUGAUGUGGUGACUUUUGUGAAAUCUCUAAUUUUCACUUUCUUGGUAUUAAUUGUUAUGGUGGAGGUGAGUUACUAGAAUGCCAGAUACUUUAUAAGAUAAGUUUACUAUAAAGUAAGAAAUGGAGUUUUGACGAAAAUAACGAAAUUAAUUAAGAUAUAUCUAUUACAUAGAAAAUCAUGUACUUUAACAUAUUUCUUAAAUUUGAACUAAUAUUUUUUUUUUAAAUAACAUUGAACUGAUAUUUUCAAUUACGAUUUUUAGAUCCUAUGCCUUUUAAUUACUUGAAGAUAGAACUGACGCUUAAUAUUCGGUGUAAUUCACCAUAAAAUACUCCCACAUGCUUUGGAAAUGUGAAAUUAAUGUCAACAACAAAACCAAACUCAUUGUUUCAUUAUUUUGUCCUCUCAUCUAGAGUUGGCACACCUUUUUUUUUCCCUCAAAUAAUACAUUUACAUCUUAUUUUGAUAAAUUUUAGUGAUAAAUAAUUAAUGUAUGACAAUGACAGUGAUUGGAUGACAAUGACACAUGAUGGGAAUGAAUUUUUUUUUUUUAAUAUUUGGACGAUUGUGUAUUAAUGUAUGUUAAUGACGACUGUUUGUUUGAAUGAUAAAAUAGUAUAUUUAUAUUUUUAGUCAAAUUAUUAAUUUAUCUCUAUUUAAUAUAUGUAAUAGUAAAUGAUAUAUAAGAAGUAUAUAAUAAAAAAAAUAAAUAAAUUAUAUAAGAAUAUAAUUAAAUUUGUAUUUAAAUAAAUAAUUAUUACACAUAAUCAAAUUAAACUUUUAUAUUUAAUAAAAUAAAUAAUUGUUAUUUAUAUUAUUACAUUAAUUUAAUUUUAAUAUAUAUUAAAAAUAAAUGAUUGUAAUUAAAUAUUAUUAUAUUAAAUCUAAAAUUAUUUUAAUAAAUAAAAAAUUAAAAUGUGUUUGAGAUAAUCGCAUAUCAUGAGUUAAUUUGAUGAAAUGAGAAGAGAAAUAUGGGGUUUAUUUGAGGAUAUAACUAGAAUUAAAUAUAUUUUAUGAAGGUAUAACGGGAAAAAAAAAUAUUACAUGCCGAUCACAUACCACCGAUUCGGUGGUUUUAAAAUUUAUCACAAAUUUGUCAAUCAUAUACCGUUUGUUACCAUUUCAUCUGAUUGGAAGUUAAAACAAAUAUGAUUUUUUUAGUGGAAUACCAUAUAUUAAUUAAUUACCAUUUACUACGAUCAAAAUAGAGUGUUAAUGUUGCUCCAAAAAAAUCAUAUCUCUCUCUAGGCCCACCCUAAUUACAAAACCAAUCACAUUUUCUUCUUCAAUUCAGCUAUCAGAAAACCAUACCUUUAACAUUGUUCCAUUACUUUCUCCCAUGCCAGCCUCAUCUACAUCCUUAAUCUGGCUUACAUUCUCUAAUAGAAAAAUUGAUAUGCUUUUUAGCAAAUUAUUUCUCUUCUCUGUUUCUUUUGUUAUUGUAUUUGCAUUACCCAACUAAUUACUCUUUACAGAUCCUUCACAACAAAACAUAAUUUUAUGGUGAACCUAUAAUGAAUAGCGUACACUAUGUUUUUUGAUAUAUCACAUUCAUGUACAUAGAAACUAUGCAAUUUUUAAAGUUUAUAUAAGAUUAUCAUUGAUUAAGCACAUAUCACAAUCCAAGAAAUAGAGAACUUAAAUGAAGAUGUGCUUUUUUUUUUUUAUAUAUAAGCCUGCCCAUGCCUAAAGCUCAUCCCUCACCAAUCCCGCAAUCACCCAAUUGAUCCUUAGGAGACCGUACACUAUAGACUAGAUGUUAUACAUCAUCAGGCAACAUAGAAGAAUGUGGUUACAUGAUUCCACAUUCAUCUUACAUAAAAAGUAGUUAUUAACCAUAAAUUUUUUCUUCCUCAUCAGCUUAGCAUUUGGUUAAAAUCAUCUUCUAAGGUUAAAAAAAGAUGGAGAGAGGAUUUUCUUAUCUUAUACCUUAAGUACUCAGAGACAACCAAGAGGCUUACUAUUCGCUAUAGUUACAAACGAAACUAUAAUAAACAACCUUAUACCCAUCUCCUGCUAUCCUAUCCAAAUCCUUUUUAGAACCAUAACUAAGUCCAAAAACUCCCAUUUCAUCAUGUCAAAUGCCUUAUCAAAAUCUAGUUCGAGGACCAAGCCUUUUUCGUUCUAUGCGUAUGUCCCACUGCUUCAUUAGUUGUAAGGGACAAUAAUCCAAUAAUCUAAUAUCCAUUAUGGUACGUUUUUCUUGGAUAUUAGGAUGAUCAAUAUUGAUUUCAUACUUCUACAAAUUCUCUCAUUCAAGUGAAAUUCCUCAAAAACUUUCAUCAAAUGAUCUUUAUAAUAUCCCAACAUGAUUGAAAAAAUGCACAUAUAAAUCUAUCAGAGUCAGGAGCUUUUUUUGUGCUUAUUCUUCUAAUAGCUCUCCUAAUCCGAGUCAGGAGCUUCCUAAGCGUUCUGCUUGAGCUACGCUCAUGGGGUGCCAAUGGAUAUCUUCUAUAUAAGGGUGUAGAAACACUUGGUUUGGUUAAAAAAAAUUCAAAAGUAAACAAAAAAAAGCUAAUUGGCACUCAAUAACUGAUUGAAUACUGAUAUGCUUAAAUAAGAAUAACCAAAAACAAAAUUGAGCUGAAUAUAUUUUAAAUUGAAAAUUUGAGUAAAAUACUACUUUUACUCAAUUUGGUUAAAAAAAUUUCAAAACAAAAAAAAAAAUUGUUAAAUCUUAUUAACUAACCGAAUCGACUGAUUAAGUGAGAAUGACCGAAAUUGAAUGAGUUUAAUAUAUUUUAAACUGAAAAAUUGAAUAAAGUACUAAUUUUAUUUCCUUAUACACAAUUUAUAUUUUAUAUUUCAUUUUCAAACUUUAAAAUUUUAAUUUCAUUAUCAACUGAUUUCGUUUUACUAACUUGAUUGCAGGAAGAUUUAAUAAAUCUACGAAUGAUUCAUGUAUGUAUAACAAAGACAAUUAGUGUUUGACAUUGAUAAAACAAUAGUUUAUUUCUUUAGUCUCGUAUUUUUAGAUAUUUUUUAUCCUUUCAUUUUUUCGACAUCAUUUAUACGUAUAAUUAUUUAAUAUCUAAGCGUGUUCUUUAUCCUUUUAUUGUUGGUUGGUAAACUAGUGUAAUUAAAGUACAAAUAUUCUACCACUAUAAAGAGAGAGAAAUAAAUAUAAUGUUUGUCUUGAUAAUAAUUUUUUAAUUAAUUGAAAGAAAUUUUAUAAUUAUAUUUUUUAAUUUUACUUUAAUUAUUACCAAAUUUAAUCAUGUUAUUUCUUAAAUACUAAUUGAUCUUUUCAUGUUAAUACAAAGAGUUUUUGUAACGACCCCGAAAAUUUAAAAGGAAAUGUAUAUAAAAAAAAAUCUGAGUGCGGAAGCGAAAUAAAAGGGUUCUGAUUAAUAUCCCUAACACAAUAACUUAAAACGUACUAAUAAUAUCAAAGAAUAAGUCAUCUAAAGGAAAUACUAGAAAUGAAAGACUAUAAAGAAAACUAUAAGAUAUAUAGGCAUCUACUCGCCGUCUUCUUGCAGAAUGGGUUUGGGAACCAAGUUCUCCUGAUAUGAAAUGGUUAAGUAAGGAAUGAGCUACACUAGUCCAGUAAGAACGUCACACUAUAUCACUGUCACAAAAGUAAAGGUUGGUAGAAAAAAACAAAAACAACCAAUGAAGUACGAUUUUUAAACAAAUUCAUUUAUCAAUAAUCAAACUAUUUACCUCAGUGAGUGUUAUAAAAACGAUCUAUAGAAACAAUAACAUCAUAGAUAUCAUGAAUUCAUACAUAUUCUGUAACAUAACACAUGUUAUACUUUUAUAUUUCAAUCAUCAAAUAGCAAUUGCCCUAUUUUAUCAGCCUACUAGUAUCCAUGAGGAUCUAUAGGGGUCUCCGCUACACGUGAACUAUUCAAUUUAACAAACUUAAUUCCAGGGCCAUCCCUAUACCCUGUCCGGUAUGGGCGCCAAAAUAAUAAACCUUAAUACCUCGUUCGGUAUAAGGGUGAAGCGGGUCGUCCUCAUACCCCGUCUGGUAUGAGCGUCAAAACAUUUAAAGUCUCCAUACCCCAUUCGGUAUGAGACAACGUUCCCGUUAGGGUUCCCUAUGGACCCGAUCAGUUUACUAUCUCCCAGGAUAUCUAGUGAGGCUGUCGUCUUAUCCAAUUAUCAAUUCAAUCCCAUUCCUAUUUAUCCUUAAUCUCUGUUACCCAUUCAAAUAUGAAUACUUAAACAAGCAACGUGCAUCCAACAAGGCAAGCAUAUCUUAGAUUCAUAUAAUUAAGCAGCAGUGAAGUAAAUAGUGAUUCAUGCAUUCAAAAUCAUAAAAUGAAUAAACCAAAUACCACAAUGUAUUUAAAACUGUAAAAUAAAUCAAACAGAAACUGACAGAGAAAUAUGUCCGAUUCGGGCUCCAUUAGCAACUGUAAUUAAUUAUGCAUAUUUACUUAAUUUGUACAAAAUACAGUUUUAUCAUUUAUUCAGACUUCAAUCCCGUGAUAGAAAAUAGGGUGAGGGGUCCUUACCUGAUUCGAAAUCAAAAAUAUGAUUUUCACUGCACCUACGGACAGUCCCUAGAUUUAUUGAAUUUUUUUUCGAGAAUUGAGACGCUCUUACGGUACCUACACACGUCCCAAAUAACUCAAAAAUCAUAUCCAAGGCCUACUCGGCUAAUUUCAGAAUUCUGGCAUGGCGGCUCCGCCAUGCUCCGGCGACAGCGAUCCGCCUUGGGUUGGCUGUUUUUGGCCGUUUCCGGCCGAAUUCAGCCAAACUUGUACCAGUUCCUGCGAGAAAACUCACGCAAUGCCCUCGGUGGGCCGAAAAAAUACAGAAAACCGAAACUUACCAGCGGCGGGGCUCUCCGGUGCGGCGGCUCCUUCGGCUCGAGUCCUGGUUUAGUGUUUUGCUCCGGUAAACCUGUAGAGGAGGAAACGGUAGUUACAAUGGUAAAAAAAUUACGUCGAACGGGACCGGAAAUGGCCUCAUCGGAGGCAAAAAUUAAGAUAACCUGUUGCGGCGCCGCUGGGCUUCGGCGGCAUUUUCCAGUCAAUUGGCUGAUUUUUUUCUCCAAUUUGGCCAUAGGUGGGUUUAGAAUCGAAUUCUGAGCCAAUGGGAGAAUUUUUUACCUCAUUUGGCAGCCGAAAAUUGUUCCAGUGCAGCGGUGGGUGGCGGCGGUCGGCUCUCCAGUGGGUGGCAGCCGCCGGCGGGCUGUCUUCUCCGACGAGGGGCUCUGGCGGCUAGGGUUAGGGUUUGGGUGUGGAUGAGAUUAUUUAUAACCUUCCGCUUUUAAUCUGAGUCGUCCAUCGUAAUUUAAUCUUUACCGUCCGAUCGCGAUUAAAUAAGAAAUGAAUAUGGAUCGUAUAUCGCGAUGCAAUCUGAACCGUCCAUGUGCGAUUCAAUCUGGGUCAUCCUGCGCGUGCAAUCUGGGCCGUCCGUACGCGUAGGAACGGAUCUCAGUCAUUCGAUCGUGCGCACGCAAAUCGCCCACGUGGCUCCCUUCCGUAUAGUCUCUCGUGUCAGCGUCCCUGCCACGCCGCGCAUACUGGUUGGCCGGGGCUGCUGAUCGGGCAGCUGACGUGGUGCAAUUUUUUUAAAUUGCGUUUUGACCCCCGAUUUUCAAAUUUUCUUUCAAAAAUACUCAUAAAACCCAAAUUUACACUCAUUUUUAUCAAAAUUAUUUUUAAUUAGAUCCCUAAGUAAUUUUUACUCCUUUUUAUUGUUUGUAUUAUUAUUAUUUCAUUUAAAAUAAAUUAAAUUUUAUUAAUACUUAAUUAUAUUUAUAUAGAAUAAAUUAAAAUAAAGUAAAAUACAAUAAAAUAAUAAUAAUAUAAAAAAAAGGAUUCUUGGGUGUUACAGUUUUCACAUUAAAAUUAUUAUAUUUUUUAAUGAUUAUUAUUUUUUUUUGAAUUUUUGAGAUUUAAUCUUAAACAUACUUAAAAUUAUUUUAUAUUUUUUAUUACAAUUAAAUAUUUUAUAAUAUUUUCUAUGUCCAACACCAACAUAUUCGUUUAUAAUAAUAUAUUUUAUCGAAAGUUAUUAAUAUGCAAAAAAAUUAAUUCAAAAUUCAAAAAUUAUAAUAUCUUUGACGAAUUUAUAAAAUUCAAACUUGGCUAACAAAAAUAAUUUUAUAAAAUAUGCUUUUUGGUGGAAGAGAGGAAAAUAGAUAAAAAAUAGAUUUAGUUAAAAAAAAUAUUUAAUUAAAAAUUGAUUUAACAUUUCUUUGAAUUGGUUCAAGGGGCCGAACCCAAAUGACGAGAACAAUUGGAUCUGGGUAUCCUGCAACAGAGACGAACGACUAGGCUUGUUUGAAGCUUUGAAGAGGUAUAUACUCGUCUUGUUUGUAUUUUGGGAGUUAGGGUUUAUAAAUUCAUCCUUAGCCAGCAGGGAUCAGACGAGUCCCUUUCGAUCGAGUCGCUUCCGAUCUGUNNNNNNNNNNNNNNNNNNNNNNNNNNNNNNNNNNNNNNNNNNNNNNNNNNNNNNNNNNNNNNNNNNNNNNNNNNNNNNNNNNNNNNNNNNNNNNNNNNNNNNNNNNNNNNNNNNCGUCAUGAUCAAACUAGGAGAAAAUUUUUGAACUUUCACUUUCAAUCACUGAUUUUUUAGGUCAAGCAAUGAACUUGACUAAAAAAAUGAUCUGGGUGACUUCGUUUAUAAUUUGGGUUGGUUUGGAUUGAUGGUUCUUUUUGCUUGGAUAAUUUUGAGUUUGUUAAAUGUGAUUACUUGGAUUUUCAAUCUACUUUCCUGUGUUUACAUCUAAGUAUAUGUGAUUUAAAUAUUGAUUGUAUCAGGUUGAAAGCUUUUUAGCAAUUAGGGAAUACGGAUGGACACUGGAACUAAAUUCUAGUAAUUUCCCUGGCAAGUUUUCUGGUUAUCACUUUAAGCUAUAUAUCCUAAGCAAACUAAUAUAAUGAUUUUCAAAAACUAAUUUAUCCAUAAUGUGGUUAUACUUGGUUCUCAUAGGAGAAUCUAUGGCAGAUUCUGACAUUAAUUGUGUGGACAAUAAUGUUUCUUUGUUGAUAGUAUGUAUUGAUUGACAGCUUUUAGGUUUAAAUAUUACUGGUUUGAAUUUGUUAAAUGUGAUUACUUGGAUUUUGAAUCUGGUUUCCUGUGUUUACAUCUAAAUAUGUGAUAUCUAAAUGUUGAUUAUAUCAGGUUGAAAGCCUUUUACCAAUUAGGGAAUGCGGAUGGAUACUGGAACUAAAUUCUAGUAAUUUCCUUGACAGUUCUCUAGUUGUCACUAUUAGUUAUAUAUCCCAAGUAAACGAGUGUACCGAUUUUCAAAAACUAAUUUAUCCAUAUUGUGGUUAUACUUGGUUCGUGUAGGAGAAUCUAUGGCAGAUUCUGACGUUUGUUUUCUUUUGUUUUUUGAAUAAAGGGUGGGAAAAAGCACCAGAUUGAAAGCAUUGUAUCUUGGAACAUUUGGUAAGUCCACUACUCAAUUUUGAUGGUUGUUUAUUUUAUGGAAAAUAAUGUGACAUUAUAUGUAUUUUUCUUCUAAAAAAUUGAUAUUUUUUAAGUAGUGUAUAUUGAUUAACAGCUUUUAUGUUAGUAUUACAUAAAAUGCAGUUAUUGCUAUGUGGUCUCAUUUGUUCACAUUGAUUGGACAAGUACUUGGUUCUUAUAGGAGAAUCUAUGGCACAUUCUAACAUUGAUUGUGCGGACAAUAAUGUUCUUUUGUAGAUAGUAUGCAUUGAUGAACAGCUUUUAGGUUUAAAAAUUAGUAAGUGCAGUUAUUGCAAUCUGGCUUCAUUUGUUAACUUUGGUUGUGUCGGGUACAUGAAUGUUUCUGCUGGUUAAAAUUUAGGGUUAGGUUCAGUUACAUUUUGCAUUGACCAAUGCAUAUUCCGGGAAUGAAUCCAUUUAUGGAAAAACAAAUUAUCAUUUAUAAAUGCUGUACCGUAACCAUGAUUAUGCACACUUGAUGUAACUCUGGCGCUCUGAAGUCUUUGAUUAUAAUCGUUCAUCAAAAUUCUUGCAUCUAUUUCUCUUCGGAAUCUCAAAGGAUUGUGUCUUAUACAUAUUGUUUUGACAAUUAUUGAUUGGGAAAUUUUUGUUAUAAUCCUGGCUGGCACUGAAGCAAUAUGCAUGUAUGUUAAUAUGAUCUUUCCCCAGUUUAUUUUUUUUAAAAAAAAUGAUCUUUCCCUGGUCAAGCUUCUAAAUAUUUCAACCCUCAAAACGAAAUUUCAUCUUAUCAUUAUUGUUGGUAAAUGAUUGAGACAGUCUUCGUUCGACAAAUCUUAACCACAUAUAUUCAGGAGUAAUUUUACGGUACUAUAAAUUUAGGAACUUGUCCUCUAUAUAUCAUGAAGUUUUUAAAGUUGGAGAUGGUGUAAUCACUCUGUUGCUUUGGGAAUGUUUAAUGUAACUAAAAUUAUCUGCAGAUGAAUGGUUUGUGAUGGUAUGAUCAUUGCCCAUUUCACGGAAAUCUCUUUUUUCCUUUUCUUUUGCAUUACGGAAUGAUGUAUUAUCAUGUUAUGUUUUACUAUCACAGUUUCUCUUCUCUAAAUCCAAUAAUCAUUUGACAUAUGCUAACUGAAUUAUAAUUUACAAACAGAUGUCUCCACCUGUCUUUAUGUCAGUGGUCAACCAAGAGAUACAUCCAGACAACUAUAGCCCCAUAGUGCUGAAAAUGCACUGGAUACUUCCUCAUGCAUGUAAGUUCCAGAACUUCAAUUUUAUUGAGUAAGAUACUUGCCUGAGUUUUCGGUAUUGACAGCACAAUAGAUAUUUCUUUCUCGCCGGUCUCCAUCUGUUGGAGUAUAUCGACCUCAUUAAAUAUUGUAAAUUCAGUCAGAUCCUUUGAUUCAUCUUCUUUGAUAUCACUAGUAUCUGCAAGAUUAUAGAUGUGGUUGUUGUACUGAUCUGUAUCAACAAUAUUAUCGCACUCAAACACUCAAUCAACUUCUCCUGGAUCCAAUAGCAAGUUGAGAUCCAAUGGCUGUAGCUUAAGUAGAGAAGGAUUGGUAGAACUAAAAAAUUGUGAACUUUAAAACCAAAUCAAGAGGAUUGUAAAUUUUAGUUCUAUCAAUCCUGCCCUACUUAAGUUACAACCAUUAGACCUCCACCUGCUAUGGAUUCAAGAGAAGUCGAUCGCUUGCUUGAGUGCGAUAACAUUAUUGAUACAGAUUAGAACAACAACCACAUCUAUGAUCUUGCAGAUAUUGGUGAAAUAAAAAAAGAUGAAUUAAAGGAUCUGACUAAACUUACAGUAUUUAAUGAGGUUGAUAUACUCCAGCAGAUGGAGACCGACAUUGAAAAAAUAUCUAACAGGUGCGCAGAGCCAGAGCCUGGCAUGUUCGCCUGGUCGUGCUGUCAAUAUCAAAAUCCCAGGCGAGCAUCUUACUCCUCAAUCGUAGAGAGAAAGAAUAAGAGUGUAAAGUGGUUUCCUGCUCCAGACUGCAAGCUGUGGUAGGGAGUAAUGGAUUCAUGAUGUGUCAUGUGCACGUUACCCCAAAUUUUGCUAGCAUUGUAGCCACAAGGCUCACUGUCCUGUAGACUGUGACAGUAUGAAGCAAUGGAUGUUGAAGAACAAGUUAGACAGAGGUAACAUGGAGUGGUAUUACUGAAUAUAUAUGCAAGCUGAUCUUUUAAGAUUGUAUAAAAAUAUCUCCGCACAAUUUGGAAAAUAUCUGAGGAAUUUUUGUUAAUGAAAGAGUUCGUUGUACAGCAAAGCGAGCUUGUUUUUCUUGCACUUUGCGAGAGAAUACAAUGUGUUGGACCUUCUGUUCCCUAAUAAGUUGUAAAGAAAUCUCUGUGAAGCUCUUUUUUCUCAACCAAGAGGCUUUGCCUCUUGCAUCUUUUCCUCCAGAACGUUGAAAAGAUUUUCUUUUCUCAUAGACGCUAUGUUCUUAGAUGGUUCACAUCCAUUUAUCUUUCCAAUCUUAAAGAGCGUCUGGGAGGUGUCAUUUUCACUGAUGGUGAUUUGUUAGGGAAUUAUUCAUCAUGCCCAAUGUUGAAAUUUGUGCAAUUAUGGACUGCAAUAUCUUUUCUAAAGGUUCUAAAUGUCUCUGCUCUCAGACUCAAAUAUCUUUAGAUAGACUAUUUUCGUGGGCUCAAAAACAUUGAGAUCAAUCUUCAUACUUGAAGUCUUAUAUCACUUAUACUGGGAGGAAAUCUUGCACAAAACUAUCAUAUUCGGGACGGUCCUAUUCAUUAUGUAGAUAUUCAAGUUGGAGAAGUUUACAGAAACCAAAUGAGUAUAGAUGUUUCUAGUUAGUCUGCGUUUAAGUUGCUGACUGAAAUCUGUAAUGUUACCGUACUAGCUGUGGAUAAUUUGUUUCGGGAGGUAUAUGCUUUGUCCAUUUCUUCUACUUAUUGAGUUUUCAUAUUUUUGGCUAAUUACUUGAUUUCUUUAAUGCAUCCUCUUACCGUUCCUUUUAAAACAUUCAAUUAACCCAUGAAAUUCCUUUCCUUUUAAUACACAGAAGAUUACGAUCCUCCUCGAUAGAAUGUCAAAUGUAUAUAAUGCCUACUUUCUAAUGAUUGUGAGUUCCUAAACUUCAAUUUUUGUCAUAUUUUACACAUUUAUUAGCCACUAUUAUUUGGGGACAGUAGGUUACUUAAUUGUUAAAGUGCAUGCUUACUAUAGUAAUUAUGUUUAUUAUUUUUUUGCUUUUCUGAACUAUAUUAAAUUGUGCAGGCACAAGAAGAGACUUUAUUCUUGUCCACUUAGGAAUGGAAUUCAGAAAACCAUGUGACUGUUGGGAUUCCAAAUUUUCUGGAAUAUGUUUACAUUAACAUGUCUUUUGGACAUGAAAUUGGCCAUCUCUAUCUUUCAGAAUAGUACUUAAGCGAUGAUGGAAAGAAGUAUAAGAUUAUUGAGAAGUUAUUAGUACUUCCAAGAACUUCAACAAAAGCAGAAGUACUUCUGUUGUAGUUUAAAUUUUAGGUUCUCAAAAGAGGUAAUAACAUUUUUGCUACUUAUUUUCAACAAGUAAGGGGUUCUUACGUUUGCACUUGAGUUUCACAAAUUUGCACUUAAGUUAAUGAGAUGUCCUUGCCAAUAUUGGUCGAAAGAUUCUUGGGUAAAUUCUUUUCUUGGCAAUAUCUACAAAAUAAAAUUUCUGCUUAUUGUUGGGAAUUGUCCAUUAGGAAUUUGCAGUAUCAGUACUGAAAUGCUCAUGUUUUUGUAGGUAACAUUAUUUCCUUAGGCCAACUAUUGGUUUUUGCUAUCGGUUUGUGGAACUGGAAAAUUCAAUGCGUGGUUAGCUAUAUUUCUAGUGUUUUGACCAUCUCCUUAGGAGUAGACAAUCAUAUGUUGAUUAACUAUGUUUUUUGGAAUUUUUAUUAUUUUUGCUGUGAAAUUUUUAGGUGCAUACCCAAGUCAAACACAAGUUAAAUUGCAAUGCACAUCAGAUUGUUUCGGUGUCCCUUUAAGUUGUUUUAAGGUUUUCUGUAUGAAAGGAAAAAGAAAAAAGAAAUGGCUCACUCUCAACUGAUUUCAAUUCUAUGUUUCUCUGGUUGCAGGAAAAAAUCAAAUUGCUGAAUGGUUCAUGUGUGGACAACAAAGAGAAUUAGUGUUUGACAUAGACGAAACAAAAGUUUAAGUCUUUUGUCCUGUAUCUCGGGACACUUACGUUAAUGAGGCUAUCGCGUCCCUUUCGAGAAGACCAAGGAUAAAAGGGGCCUAUCUUGAUAGGAUUAGAUAGUUUAACCUCUUGAUGAAACUAGUGCUUACUUUGUCAAAUAAAUGUACAUUUUAUUCAAUCUUUUUUUAUACUAAGGGCCAAAUUUUAUGGCCCCAAUGCUGUGAUAUAGUUGUCUAUAUGUAUUAUAUGUACAGAUAGCAUGUAGAAAGAAACUCAGAAGUCAGGAAAUUAGAAAACUUAUCAUGAGAUUAGAGUAUGGAGAAGGAGAUGUAGCAGCUUGUUUUUCUUCUUUGUCAUAAUCUCCUUUUGAAUGUAAUGUAAUGGAAUUGCAAAAGUUUUGGAAUUUAAAGGAUUCCUCUUUGAAGCACUUUCUCUAGUUUGGUUGUCUUCUUAUUGUAAGCGGUAAACUGUUAUCGAUAUGGAAUAAUUGUGAUCGAACUAUGCAAAUCUAUCUUUUUUUUUUCUGAUAUUUCUCUUAUUGAAAUGGAUUUAUGUUGGAAUUAUUGUUUUUAGGUUAAAGAGUACUUCAAAAAUUUGUGGUAAAUUUGUUCCAUCUAAUGAUUAUUUUUUAUUCGUUGUUGAGAUAUAAUAUAUUUAAGAAAUAAAUAAGUAUAAUGAUGUAAAAAUAUAUUAAAUUAGAGAAUUUUUUUAAAAAUAUAAAAUUAGAUUAAAUUUAAAAAUUAAAAAUUAAAAUCAAUACUAAUAUAAGACCAUUUAUUCGAUUGAAUGUUUUUAAAUAUUAUUCUAAUUUAUAAUAAUAUAGUUUAUUAAAAUAUAUUAAGUUUUAUAUUAUACAAUGUUAGAUGGAUUUUUAAAUUAAAUAAAGCAAAUAUUUCAAAUAAAAUGCAAAACGGCACACAUAUGGUGCGUUCUUCUGGGUAGAUAAGUUUGGAUUUAACAUUUCAUCAGCGGAUCCCGAAUGAAACACAAUCGGGUUAGGGUAUUCUUCGGAUCUUGUUUGUGUUUUGAGAGUUAGGGAUUAUAAAUUCAUCGUUAACCACCAGGUAUCCCACGAGCCGCUUCCCAGCUUUGGAAUAGAUUGAGGGAAGUCUGCAUAGAAUCUUACCAGAGAGAUGGAUGCUGUAAAACCUGGAGAGAAACAGCUAGAGAAAGAAGAUGACGACGACGACGAAGAUGAAGGAACCGUCGUGGAUCAUGAAGUCCUUCCGUCGAAUAAGUAAUUUACCAAGGUAAUCUCGGUUGUUGUCUCUUGGCUGAGCCUCUUUUUAAUCUUUUAUCACUACGUUUUUGCACUUGAUUUGGAUUUCUUCAUGAUCGAUUGAAGCGGGAAAUUGAAAAAAACAAAGAUAAACUUUUUUGAUCUUUCAAUUCAGUUGCUGGUUGUUUUAGGUCAAGCAAUGAACUUGACUGAAAAAAUUAUCUGGGUGGCUUCAUAUAUAAUUUGGGUCGAUUUGGAUUGAUGGUGAUUUUUGCUUAGAUAAUUUCAGUUGGUUAAAUGUGAUUAAUUGGACUUUGAAUCUACUUUCCGGUGUUUACAUCUAAAUAUAUAUGAUUUGAAUAUUGAUUAUAUCAGGUUGAGAGCUUUUUAGCAAUUAGGGGACACGGAUGUGUACUGGAACUAAAUUCUAGUAAUUUCCCUAGCAGUUCUCUAGUUGUCGCUUUUAGUCAUAUUUCUUGAGCACGCUAGUAUUCUGAUAUUGAAAAAUUAAUUUAUCCAUAUUGUGGUCAUACUUGGUUCUUGUAGAGAAUCUAUGGCAGAUUCUGACGUUUGCUCUUUUCUUUUAGAAAAAAAGAUUGGGAAAAUGCACGGGUUUGAAAGCGUUGUAUCUUGGAACAUUUGGUAAGUUCACUGCUCAAUUCUGACGUUUGUUUAUUUUAUGAAAAAUAAUGUUACGUUAUAGACAUUUUUCUUCUAAAAAAAUGAUACUUUUUAGUUAGUGUAUAUCGAUUAACAGCUUUUAGGCUUAAUAGUACUUAAAUGCGGUUAUUGCUAUGUGGCCUCAUUUGUUAACAUUGAUUGUGACAAGUACUUGGACAUUUAGGGUUAGGUUCAGUCACAUUUUGUAUUGACCAACGUAUAUUCCGGGAAUGAAUCCAUUUAUGGAAAGAAAAGAUUUUCAUUUAUAAAUGCUGUACCUUAACCAUGAUCAUGCACACUUGAUGUAACUCUGGCGCUGGUGGGAUCUGAAGUCUUUGAUUAUAAUCGUUCGUCAAAAUUUUUGUAUCCAUUUCUCUUCGAAAUCUCAAAGGAGUGUGUCUUAUAGAUACUGUUUUGACAAUCAUUGAUUGGAAAAUAUUUGUUAUAAUCCUGGCUGGUGCUGAAGAGUAUGCAUGUAUGUUAAUAUGAUCUUUCCCCAGUUUAUUUUAAAAAAAUCUUUCCCUGGUCAAGCUUCUAAAUAUUUCAACCCUCAAAACAAAAUUUCAUCUCAUCAUUAGUGUUGGUAAAUGAUUGAGACCAUAUUGAGGAGAAAUUUUAUGGUACUAUAAAUUUAGGAACUUGUCCUCUAUAUAUCGUGAAGUUUUUCAAGUUGGAGGUGUAAUCACUCUGUUGCUUAGGGAAUGUUUCAUGUAACUAAAUUUUCUGCAGACGAAUGGUUUGUGAUGGUAUAAUCUCUGCUCAUUUCGUGUAAUUUCUUUUUUCCUUGCCUUUUGCAUUACAGAAUAAUGUACUAUCAUGUUAUGUUUUGCUGUCGCAGUUUCUCUUCUCUAAAUCUGACAAUCAUUUGACAUAUGCAAAUUGAAUUGUGUUUUACAAACAGGUGCCUCCAUCUAUCUGUCUGGUCAGUGGUCUACCAAGAGAUACGUCCAGGCAGUUAUAGCCCAAUAGUGCCGAAAAUACACUGGAUACUUUCUCAUGCAUGUAAGUUCCAAAACUUCAAUUUUAUUGAGGAGUAAGAUACGUGCUUGGGAUUUCGAUACUGACAGCACAAUUGAUAUUUCUUCAAUAUCGGUCUCCUCUUGUUGAAGUAUAUUAACCUCAUUAAAUAUUGUAAAUUUGGUAAGAUCUUUUGAUUUAUCUUCUUUGAUAUCACCAGUGUCUGCUAGAUCAUAGAUGUGGUUGUUGUGCUGGUAGUAUCAAAGAAGAUAAAUCAGAGGAUCUAACCAAAUUUACAAUAUUUAAAGAGGUUGAUAUACUCCAGCAAAUGGAGACCGACAUUGAAGCAAUACUAUUGUGCUGUCAGUAUUGAAAUCUCAGGAAAGUAUCUUGCUCCUCAACAUGGCUGGAGCACUAAUAAAGUGUACGAUAAAUGGUUUUCUAAUGAAUGCAAGGUUCGUGAGAGGACCAGUUAGUUAAUUGAGAAUCUACCAAAAGUUUCGUUAGUCUUAUUAAUUACAGAAUCUGCUUUGGAUCUUAUAGUCAUGAUAAGAUUCAAUCGGCUUCUUGUGGCCAUGGCCAUUAGUGGUUGUUUGGGGCUAAGGUGUCCAGAGCCAUCUUGCAGCACAAUUGUCUGCCAGGACAUGGGUUUUUGGGUUGCCCACUUAGGUGGAAAAGGAAAAAUAUCUUGGUUACGUUGUUCAAUUUUAUGUACAAAAAAGGAAUGAUAUUUUAAAGUGAUGUCCCAUUCCAGACUGCAAACGUGCAAUCGUUCUAGCAGUGGUACGGAGUAAUGGGAUUCAUGAUGUAUUAUGUGCAUGUUACCACAAAUUAUGACACUGUGAAUCAAUGGAUGUUGAAGAACGAGUGAGAUGGAGGUAACAUGAAGAGUUUUUACUGAAUAUUAUGCAAGCUGAUUUUUUAAGAGUAUAUGAAAAUGUCUCCACACUGUGUCGAUAAUGUCGUGAUUGUUGGAUCCUAAAUUUUGAGGAAUUUUUUUUAAUGAAAGAGUUUGUUGUACAGCUAAGCUAGCUUUUUUUUUUUCUGGCAUUUUCCCAGAAAAUACAAUAUGUUGGACCUUCUGUUCUCCAAUGAGUUGUAAAGAAAUCAAGUAAUUGUAUGUGUAGCUCUUUUUCUCAACCAAGGGGGUUUGGCCCUUGCCUCUUUUUGUCCACUGCUGUAAUAUAGUUGUCUAAUUGUAUUAUAUGUACAGAUAGCAAGUAGAAAGAAACACUGGGAAAUCAGUGAGUUAAAAAACUUGUCCGGACAUAAAAGUAUGAAGAUGGAGAUGUGUAGCUUGAUUUUCUUCCUUGUGUUAAUCUCCUUCUGAAUGGAGGGUAAAUGGAAUUUCGAACUUUUGGAAUUAAUGGAUUCCUCUUUGAUGAACUUCUAGUUUGGUUGUCUAUUUUUUGUAGACCGGAAUUUGAUUAUGUUAGUUGAAAUCAUUGUUUCUAGGAUAAGAGUGUCAAAGAAAUAGCGAGGAUGGAAUGUUAAUGACAAAAUCCCUCAAAAUCUAUUUGACGCGAUUUCAGAUAAUUAUUUAUGCGUUGUUUCAAAUAAUUUAAAUUGUUCUAUGUGUUGAAUAUUUUCUUUUUAGGUUUGUUGAUGAUUUAGCUUUAGGGAUUGUUUCAGAUAAUGAUCGAGAAAGAUAAUUUUGACUGAAAAAUAUUAAUUAUGUCGAGUUCUAAAAAAGUUAAUUCUUCGGAUUUAUUUAUUUUUUAAUUCAAAUUUCAAAAUUUGUUAUAUGAAAUAUAAAUAUUCUCAAACGAAUUAUUUAUUUAUUUUUUAUAAAUUUUUAAUACAUAAAUUAAAUUUUCGAACUUUAAAAUUUAAAUGUUAUUUUAUCUCUAUUUAAAAUUUAUUUAUCGGUAAAAUAAGAGUAGUAGAUGUCCAAACCAAGAACAAUUUUUUUUUAUUCAUUUGAAACUCAAAAUCUUUUAUUCUUCAAAAAAGUUGUAAUAUAUAAACUGAAUUGUCAAGGAAUUUAUGAUGAGUUUUGAUAUUUUUGAGAAAUGGUUUGUAUUAUAGGAGAUAAAUAAUAUUUUUAAUGAUUAUAUUUAAAAAUAAAAUUAUUUACUAAUUUUAUAUUUUUUAAGUUAGUAAAACAUUACCUCAUUAUAAAAUAAGUAAUAUAGUUAAAUUUUUAUUAUUUUUAUAAAAAAAUUUUGUAUUAUUAGAAUAAUAUUUUUUAAAAAAUAAUAUUAUUUAAAUGAUUAAAAUAAUUAAAAUUUUAUGUUAUCUAAUUUUUUUUAUUAUUUCAAAGUUUAUUAUUAAUUUAUAAUAUUAUUAACUAAAUGUAACAUCAUAUUUUAUAUUGAAAUAUUUUACAACAAGUUUUAUUAAUCACUUUAUUGUUCUUCACUUAAAGUAAUUUUUGUUAAAACUCAUUUUUAAAUUACAUUUUUCCCUACAUCGAAAGUAUAAGUAUGAGUACCCAAGUGUUCAUGUUUAUGUCAUUAACAUACAUAAUUAUUAUUGUCUUAUACCAACUUUUACUUCCUCUAUGUUGUUUUAGAAUUGGAAAAUUCAAUACUUUGUUGACUUAAUUUUAGUGUUUUGAUAUUUUCCGAGUAAAAGAUAUCAUAUGCUUAUUAGCUCUACUUUUAGAUAUUAUUAUUUUUCGUGUAGAAUGCUUAUAAGCAUUAUUGAACUUUUAUACGAAUGUAAUGCUUUAACAAGUUAAAUAAAAAUCAACAUUGUUUCGUGAUAUUUUUAGUUGGUGUAAAUUUUUCUAGUUAAAAAAAAAAAUAACUUCAUCUCAACUAGUUUCACUUUUAGUGUUUACCUAGUUGCAUAAAAAACUCAAUAAAUUUCUGAAGAAUCCGUGUUUAGAGAAUGAAGACAAUUGACUUUUGAUAUUAAGAAAAUAACUUGUUAACUCUUUAAUAGUCUUUUUCAUUUUUUUUUUUUGAGAGUUUAGAUUAGUGAAAUUAUCAUAUAUAUUUGAAGAAAAUCGAGAUAAAAACGAGAGUAACUUAAUAGGUUAAUAAAAAUUUAGUCUUAUGAUGGAAGUAACGAUUACUCUCUUAAACAGAUUUAUUAAUAGUUUUUGACAUCUCUUUCUCUUUGAGAUACAAUUUUUUAUUUUUUAUUUUUUAAUUUUUGAACAUCAUCGAUACGUCUAAUGUUUUAGCAUUUUAAACAUAUUUCAAAUUAGUUAUUGUUGGUUAAUCAACUGUUUUUAUCAAAAUAAAAACAUUCAAUAACUGUGAAUGGAUAUAAAUAAAUGAAGAUUUAUUUAUAUAAUAAUUCUUUAAUUAGUUACAAGAAAUUUUAUGAUUAUUACCGCAUAUAACCACUAUUUGAUGAUAUUUAACAACUGAUCUUUAUUUAAUAAUAAUCGAUCUUAUUAUAAUAAUCAAAAAAAUUCUUUAAGAGUUUGUGUGGUAAAUAUGCUCAUUUAUUCAAUGAUCAUUUUUUGUUAUAUUAUAAUAUAGUACAUUUAAGAAAUAAAUGGAUAUAGUCAUUUUAAAUUAUAUUAAAUUAUUAUUAUUUUUAAAAUAUCAAGUUAAAUUAAAUAUUAAAAUAAGCAGACAAAUUAGACAGAAAAUUAUUGGCCUCUCAAACAACUCCACUACUUGCAAAUGCAGAUUCUGAAUUUUCUCCACUGAAUGCAUUCUUCUUUCUCUUUGAUCUGCUUCAAUGAGGCCUUGUUGGGGAUGGUCCUUCUAUUAACUAUGUAGAUAUUCAAGUUGGAGAAGUUUACAGGAACCAAAUGAGUACAGAUGUUCUUAGUUUCAUUGCUUUUAAGUUGCUGACUGAACUCUAUAAUGUUACUGUAGUAGCUGUGGAUAAUUUGUUUCAUGAAGUAUAUGCUUUUUCUAUUUCUUCUACUUAUUGAUUGUUCCCUUUUUUCUCUAAUUACUUGAUUUCUCUAAUGCAUAUCUUACCUUUCCUUUUAAAAAAUACAAGUAACCUAAAACAUUCUUUAGUGUUGAAUGCAGCUUGUCGUCUACGAAGGCCAGUGAUUCAUGGACAUAUUCAAAUGCGAUCACUUUAAAACAUGAGCAAUGUAUAUCUGUCUAUUUGGCCAUCCAAGAAACAUAUACAGAUGAUUAUGGUCCUCCUCUGUAGAAUGCUGAAUGUAUGUAGCAGUUCUUUGGUUGUCACUUUUAGUUAUUAUAUCCUAAGCAAAGGAGUAUACGAUCUUUCAAAACUAAUUUAUCCAUAUUGUGGUUAUAUUUGGUUCUUCUAGGAGAAUAUAUGGUAAAUUCUUACCUUUGUCUUUUUUUUAUAUAUAAAAAGUGUGAAAAAGUACCGGUUUAAAAGUAUUAUAUCUCGAAACAUUUAGUAAGUUCACUACUCAAUUCUGACGUUUGUUUAUUUUAUGAAAAAUAAUAUUACAUUGUAGAUAUUUUUUUCUUAAAAAAAUGAUACUUUUUACUUAGUGUGUAUCGAUUAAAGCUUGUAGGUGUAAUAUUACUUUAAUGCAAUUAUUGUUAUAUGUUCUCAGUUGUUAAUAUUGGUUGUGACAAGUAGUUAAACAUUUAUUCUAGUUCAAAUUUAGGGUUAGGUUUAGUCGCAAUUUGCAUGACCAACGUACAUUGCGGGAAAACAUCCAUUGAUGGAAAAAUAGAUUAUCAUUUAUAAACGUUAUACCGUAACCAUGAUCAUGCACACUUUAUGUGACUCUAUCGCUGAUGCAAUCUGAAGUCUUUUAUUAUAAAUGUUCAUCAAAAUUCUUGCAUCCAUUUCUCUUUGAAAUCUCAAAGGAGCGUGUCUUAUACAUACAUGCUGAAAAGUAUGCAUGUAUGUUAAUAUGAUCUUUGGUCUAGUUUAUUUAUAUAAAAAAAUGAUUUUUCCCUAGUCAAGCUUCUAAAUAUUUCAACCCUUAAAACGAAAUUUCAUCUUACCAUUAUUGUUGGUAAAUGAUUGAGACCAGUCUUCGAUCAAUAAGUUUUUACCACAUAUAUUCAGGAAAAAUUUUAUGGUACUAUAAAUUUAAGAACUUGUCCUCUAUAUAUCGUGAAGUUUUUCAUGUUGGAGGUGUAAUCACUCUGUUGCUUUGGAAAUGUUUCAUGUAACUAAAUUUCUUUCUGAUGAAUGGUUUAUGAUGGUAAAUCAUUCCUAACUUCAUGCAAAUCUCUUUUUUCCUUGUCUUUUGACUUACGGAAUAAUAUAUUAUCAUGUUAGAUUUCUGCGUCGCAGUUUCUUUUUUCUAAAUCCAACAAUCAUUUGACAUGUGCAAAUUGAAUUUUAUUUUUACAUACAGGUGCCUCCACCUAUCUAUUUGGUCAAUGGUGAACCAAGAGAUACGUCCAUAGCCCAAUAGUACCGAAAAUGCACUGGAUACUUUUUCAUGCAUUUAAAUUCUAGAACUUCAAUUUUAUUGAGGAGUAAGAUACAUGGCUGAGAUUUUGAUACUAACAGCACAAUAGAUAUUUCUUUAAUAUCGGUUUCCUCUUGUUGAAGUAUAUCAACCUCAUUAAAUAUUGUAAAUUUGGUAAGAUCUUUUGAUUUAUCUUCUUUGAUAUCACCAGUAUCCGCUAGAUCAUAGAUGUGGCUGUUGUGUUGGUGAUAUCAAAGAAAAUAAAUCAAAAAAUCUAAUCAAAUUUACAAUUUUUAAUGAGGUUGAUAUACUCCAACAAAUGGAGACCGACAUUAAAGCAAUAUUUAUUGUGCUAUCAGUAUUGAAAUCCCAGGAAAGUAUCUUGCUCCUCAACAUGACUGGAGCACAAAUAAAGUGUACGAUAAAUGAUUUCUAAUGAAUGCAAAGUUCGUGAGAGGACCAAUUUGUUAAUUAAGAAUUUACCAAAAGUUUCAAGUUUUGGUAGUCUUCUUACUUGUGGGAUAGCACGUAGAAAGAAUCUGGAAAAUCAGGAAGUUGAAAAACUUAUCUUGAGAUAGAGCAUGGAGAAGGAGAUGUAGCUUGUUUUUUUUUCCUUGUGUUAAUCUUCUUUUUGGAUGAUAUGUACUGAAUUAUCAAAACUUGUGGAAUUUUAAGGAUUCAACUUUGAAAGGACUUCCUCUAGUUUGGUUGUCUUUUUAUUGUACACUUUAAAUACUUAUGUCAGUUGGAAUGAAUCGAUGUUUUCGCACGGUAAUGAUCGAACCAUGCAAAUUUAUCUUUUUUUUUCCUCGUCACUUCUCUAAUUGAAAUGAAUCAAUGCUGGAGCUUCGAAGAAAUAGCGAGUAUGGAACGUGAAUGACAAAACUUUUGUUCGUAAUAAUUAAAUUUGCAUUAUUACCAAAUUUAAAUGGUUAGUUUUAUUUAAUGAAUUUUUUUUGUUCAUUAUUAAGAUAUAAUAUAUUUAAAAUAUAAAUAGAUAUAAUAAUUUGAAAGUAUAUUAAAUUAAUGCGGCUUUUAAAAAUAUGAAAGUGAACUAAACAUAAAUUACUUUGGUUAAAUAUUUUUAAAUGUUUUAUCUGUUCUGUACUUCCAUAUUAUAAUUUAUAAUAAUGUAAUUUAUUAAAAUACAUCUGAAGUCUUAUAUUAUAAUAUGUUAGAUGAAUUUUUAAAUUAAAGAAAUGUAAAUCAAAUAUUUCAAAUAAAAUGCAAAACGACACACAAAUUAGCAGAAGAGUAAUUUUAUUGACUGUUCAUCUGGGUAUUAGAUAAAGUUGGAUUUUGAUUUAAAAAAAAAAAAAUUUGUUGUAACUUUUAUUUACUUGAGGAUAUAAAAGAUAAUUUAUUUCAUUAUAUUGUAAUCUGUUGACUCGGCCCAACCCGACUGAAACAAUCGGAUCAGGGUAUUUUGCAGAUCUUUGUUUGUGUUUUGAGAGAACGGCCUAUAAAUUCAUCGUUAACCACCAGGGAUUGAAGGAGCCGCUUCCGAUCUGUGGAACAAAACUGCGGGAAGUCUGCAUAGAACCUUACCAGAGAGAUGGAUGCUAUAAAACUUGUUGCGAAACAACUAGAGAAAGAAGAUGACGACGACGACGAAGAUGACGACGACGACGACGAAGAUGAAGGAACCAUCAUGCAUCAUGAACUCCUUUCGUCGAAUAAGUAAUUAACCAAGGUAAUCUCGACUGUUGUCUCUUGGGUGAGCCUCUUUUUUUUUAUCUUUUAUCACAAUGCUUUUGCACUUGAUUUGGAUUUCGUCAUGAUCGAUCGAAGCGGAAAUUAAGGAAAACAAAGAGAAAUUUUUUUGUCUAUCACUUCAGUCACUGGUUGAUUAGGUCAAGCGAUGAACUUGACUGAAAAAAUAAUCUGGGUAACUUCGUUUUUAAUUUGGGUUCAGUUGGAUUGAUUGUGAUUUUUGUGUAGGAAAUUUGAGUUUAUUAAAUCUGAUUAAUUUGAUUUUGAAUCUGGUUUCCAGUGUUUACAUCUAAACAUGUGUGAUUUAAAAGUUGAUUAUGCCAGGUUGAAAGCUUUUUAGCAACUAGGGAAUAAGGAUGGAUUCUGAAACUAAAUUCUAGUAACUUCCCUGGCAGUUCUCUGGUUGUCACUUUCAUUUGUUAUAUCCUAAGCGAACUGAGUAUAAAAUUUUGCAAAACUAAUUUAUCCAUAGUAUGGUUAUACUUGGUUCUUGUAGGAGAAUCUAUGGCAGAUUCUGACGUUUGCUUUUUUUUUUUUUUUUCUUCUACGAAUAGUGGGAAAAAGCACCAAAUUGAAAGCAUUAUUUCUUGGAACAUUUGGUAAGUUCACUACUCAAUUCUGACGUUUGUUUAUUUUAUGGAAAAUAAUAUCUUUUUGAUUAUAAACGGUGGAAUCAUCCAUUUUGAUAUAUAAGAAAUGAUCGAUUUGAAAAUGCUGUAAGAGAUCAAAUGUAAAAAUAUUUUUUUUAUACAUGCGAUCAGUAAGCGAACUAGGAUCUGCAAGAUCCUACUUUGAUCCACCCUUCCCUCUCGAAACCUCUUCUUAUCCAUAGACUCAAGAUCCAUAAAAGUGGCUAUCUUGUUUUCAGGCCUACCUUUUUCUUUCUCUACCUUCACCAUAGAUAUUUUUCUUCUAAAAAAAUGAUACUGUUUAGAUAGUGUAUAUCUAUUAACAGUUUUUAGGUUUAAUAUUACUUAAAUGCAGUUAUUGCUACGUGGCCUCAUUUGUUAACAUUGGUUGUGACAAGUACUUGAACAUUGAUGGUAGUUAAAAUUCAGGGUUAGGUUUAGUUGCAUUUUGCAUGACCAACGUGCAUCGUGCGAAAGCAUUCAUUUAUAUCAUUUAUAAAUGCUAUACUCUAACCAUGAUCAUGCACANNNNNNNNNNNNNNNNNNNNNNNNNNNNNNNNNNNNNNNNNNNNNNNNNNNNNNNNNNNNNNNNNNNNNNNNNNNNNNNNNGCUUCUAAUCCGUGAAAUACCUAAGGAAGUCUACAAUCUUUCCAUAGAGAUGUUCCUAUAACACUUGCUGUGAAGGCAUGUAGAUAAAGAAGAUGACGACGAUGAUGAAGACGACAUUGAGCUCAAAAACAUUGAGAUCAAUUUUCGUACCUGAAGUCUCAUAUCAUUAUACUGAGAGGAAAUCUUGCACAAAACUAUCAUAUUAGGGACGGUCCUUGUAUUCAUCAUGCAGAUAUUCAAGUUGGAGAAGUUUAUAAACAGCAAAUGAGUACAGAUGUUCUUAGUUGUACUGCUUUUAAGUUGCUGACUGCACUCUGUAAUGUUACUGUACUAGCUGUGGAUAAUGUUUUUUGGGAGGUAUAUGCUUUGUCUAUUUCUUCUACUUAUCGUUUGUUUCCUUUUUUGCUCUAAUUACUUGAUUUCUUUAGUGCAUCCUCUUACUUUUCCUUUUAAAAAAUACAAGUAACCUCUGACAUUCCUUGGUGGUGCAGCUUCUCUCCUACAAGUCCAGUCAUUCAUGGGCAGAUGCAAAUGCAAUCACUUUAAGACAUGAGCAAUGUAUAUCUGUCUGUCUGGCCAUCCAAGAAACGUAUACAGAUGAUAACUAUCCUCCUCGGUAGACUGCCAAAUGUACAUAGCGCCCACUUUCUAAUGCUUCUGAGUUCAUAAGCUUCGAUUUUCUUCAUAUUUAAUGCAUAUAUAUUAGCCAUUAUCUUUUGGGGACAGCAGGUUUUCAAUUGUUAAAAUGCAUGCUUACUGUAGUUAUUAUUAUUAUUAUUAUUUUGUUUUUCUGAAGUAUAUUAAAAUGUGCAGGCACAAGAACAGCCUUUAUACGUGUUGACUCUGGAAUGGAAUUCAGAAAACCUUGAGACUGUUGGGAUUCCAAAUUUUCUGGAAUAUAUUUACAUUAACAAGUUUGUUGGACGUGAGAUUGAUCUUCUCCUGGUGAAAGUUUUCCUUGAGAAUGCGAAAGCAUUAGUGAAGUUGGCCACUACCUUUCAGAGUGGUGCUGAAUCGGAUGAUGGAAAGAAAUCUAAGAUUAUUGAGAAGUUAUUGGCAUUUCCAAGAGCUUCAACAAACCUUGAGACUGUUGGGAUUCCAAAUUUUCUGGAAUAUAUUUACAUUAACAAGUUUGUUGGACGUGAGAUUGAUCUUCUCCUGGUGAAAGUUUUCCUUGAGAAUGCGAAAGCAUUAGUGAAGUUGGCCACUACCUUUCAGAGUGGUGCUGAAUCGGAUGAUGGAAAGAAGUCUAAGAUUAUUGAGAAGUUAUUGGCAUUUCCAAGAGCUUCAACAAAAACAGAAGUAUUUCUCUUGUAAAUUAAACUUUAGUUUCUGAAAAGAGCUAGUUAUUGGCACUAAGUUAGUGAGAUGCCCUUGCCAAUAUUGGUUGAAAGAUUCUUCUGUUAAUUAUUUUCUUGGCCAUACAUAAAAGAAACAUUUCUGCUUAUUGUUGGGAAUUUCGAGUAUCAGUACUGAAAUACACAUACUUUGUAGGUAAUAUAUUUUCCUCAGUCCAACUUUUAGUCCCUACUAGUGGUUUGUGGAACUGGAAAAUUCAAUGUGUUGUUGGAUAUAUUUCUAGUGUUUCAAUAAUUUCCUAAGAAGCAGAUAAUCAUAUGUUGGAUAGCUAUAACUUCAGAGAUUUUUAUUAUUUUUGCUGUAGAAUUUUUAGGUGCAUAGCCAUAGUCAAACAUUUUUUAACAAAGGGAAAGCUUUAACAAGUUAAACUGCAAUGAGUAUCAGAUUGUUUCGGUCUUGCUCUUGUAUUUCGACUGAUAUCAUUUUUACUGUUUGUCUGAUUGCAGGAAAAAUUCAAAUUGCUGAAUGGUUUCUGUGUGGAGAAUGAAGAGAAUUAGUGUUUGACGUUGACACAACAAAAGUUUUAACUCUUUUGUCUUGUAUUCUGGGGGACUUACAUUAAUGAAGCUAUCACAUCCCUUUGAAGAAAACCAAAGAUAAAAAGGGGCUAACUCGAUAGGCUAAUGAUAUUUUAGCCUCUUGACGAAACCUAUGUUUACUCUUGUAAAUAGAUGUACAUUUUGUUCAAUCUUUUUCUAUACCAGGGGGCAAACUUUAUUGCCUCAGUGCUGUAAUAUAGUUGUGUAUAUGUAUUAUAUGUACAGAUAGUAAGUAGAAAGAAACAUUGGGAAAUUAUGAAGAUUUCUACAACAAGUUUCAUCAAUUACUCAGAGACCCUUCUUCAUUUCAAGUUAUUUUUAAAGCAUUUUUUCCCCUCACAACAUAAGCAUCAUUACCCAAGCCUUCAUGCUUUUGUCAAUAACUAAUUAUUUUGCCUUAAGCCCAACUCUUGCUCCUGUUAUGUCUUAUUAGAACUUGAAAACCCCCAAUGCUAUAUUCGCUUGAGUUUAGUAUUUUUGAUCUUUUCCUAAUCAAAGACAUCGUAUGCUGGUUAUCUCCACUUUUAAAGACUACUAUUUUUCAUGUGGGUGCUUGUAGGCAUAGUUGAACUUUUAUAUAUAUUUCUAUUGUUGACUAUAUAAAUAUUUUAAUAAAAAAAAAUUUGUUAAUUGUUAAAAAAUAUAAAUAAAUAUAGAUUUAUUUUAGUAAUAUUUUUUUAAUUAAUUGUAAGAAUUUUUGUGAUUAUUAUCAAAUAUAAUUAUAAUUGAACUAAGAUUUAAUAAUAUUUAAAAAUUAAUUUUUAUUUAAUAAUAAUUGAUUUUGUUAUAAUAAUUAAAAAAGUUAAAAUUUUUAAAAAAAAUUUAGAUGAAUUUACUCAUUUAUUCUUUUGUUAAAAUAUAAUAUAUUUAAGAAAUAUACAGAUAUAAUUAUUUAAAAAUAUAUUAAAUUAAUGUAUUUUUUAAAAAUAUAAAAUUAAACUAAACAUAAAAUGUUUAUAGAAUGUUUGUUUUUUCUAAUAUAUAUUGAAUAAAGUGGAGAGAGGAAAAUAGAUAAAAGUUAUAUUUUAAUUAAAACUUUUUUGUAAUUUUUUAUUUGAAAAUAUUAAAACUUGGAAAAUAAAGAGGUGUAAUCGGUUCAAUAGCCAAACCCGAAUGAAACACAAUCGGGUCAGGGUAUUUUGUGGAACUUGUUUGUGUUUUGAGAGUUAGGGUUUAUAAAUUCAUCGUUAGCCACCGGAGAUCCAACCAGCCGCUUCUGAGCUGUGGAAUGGAUUGAGGGAAGUCUGCAUAGAAUCUUAGCAGAGAGAUGGAUGCUAUUAAACCCGGUGAGAAACAGCUAGAGAAAGAAGAUGACGACGACGAUGAAGAUGAAGGAACCAUCAUGCAUCAUGAACUCCUUUCGUCGAAUCAGUAAUUAACCAAGGUAAUCUCGGUUGUUGUCUCUUGGGUGAGCCUCUUUUUGAUCUUUUAUCACUCUGCUUUUGCAUUUGAUUUGGAUUACGUCAUGAUCGGUUGAAGCAGAAAUUGAGGAAAACAAAGAGAAAAUUUUUGAUCGUUCACUUCAAUUGCGGGUUGUUUAGGUCAAGCAAUGAACUUGACUGGAAAAAUGAUCUGGGUGACUUACAUUUAUAAUUUUGGUGGAUAUGGAUUGAUGGUAAUUUUUGUGUAGAAAAUUUGAGUUUAUUAGAUGUAAUUAAUUGGAUUUUGAAUCUAGUUCCGGUGUUUACAUCUAGACGUGUUUGAUUUAAUAGUUGAUUAUAUAAGGUUGAAAGCUUUUUAACAACUAGGGAAUACGAAUGGAUUCUGAAACUAAAUUCUAGUAAUUUUCCUGGCAGUUCUCUGGCAAUUCUAGUAAUUUUUUUUUUUUUUUUGAAGAAAUAAAGAGUGGGAAAAAGCACCAUAGUGAAAGCUUUAUAUUUCGGAAGAUUUGGUAAGUCCACUACUCAAUUCUGACCUUUUUUUUUUAUUUUAUGGAAAAUAAUGUUACAUUAUAUAUAUAUUUUUUUUCUAAAAAAGUGAUACUUUUUAAAUAGUGUAUAUUGUUUAACAGCUUUUAGUUUUGAUAUUACUUAAAAUGCAGUUAUUACUAUGUGGCCUCAUUUGUUAACAUUGGUUGUGAUAACUACUUGGACAUUUCUGCUGGUUAAGAUUUAGGGUUAGGUUUACUCCCAUUUUGCAUGACCAACGUACAUUUUUGGAAUGCAUUCGUUUAUGGAAAAAUAGAUUAUUAUUUACAAACACUAUACAUAACCAUGAUCAUGCACACUUGAUAUAACUCUGGUGCUGGUGGGAUAUAAAGUCUUUAAUUAUGAGUCGUUCAUCAAAUUUUUCUUCCAGAUCUUGUUGAGGUUCCGAUGCUGAAAGUAGACCUGAUAAAUUCAUAGACCAGACGCUCGUGCAUCAUGAUGACUCAGAUAUACCAGUCGUCAAAUUCAAAUUAUGCAGAGGAAGAGCACACAUCAUUUUAAAGACUGAAUGGAUUGAUUUUGCUUUGAAGCAUAAUGUUCAAGAUCUUGUUAGUGAAGCUCUUUUUUCUAAACCAAGUGGGUCUGGCUCCUGUAUCUUUUCCUCCAGAACAUUGAAAAGAUUUACUUUCUUGCUAGGCUUCUAUAUUCUCAGAUGCUCCAGAUCCAUUUAGCUUCCCAGUCUUCAAGAAGUGCCUCUUGGAGGUGUCAUUUUCACUGAUGGCUGUCUGACAGAGGAAUUAUUCUCAUCAUGUCAGGUGCUGGAAUCUGUGCAUUUGUGGAAUUGUGACCUGUCUUGUCUAAAGGUUCUAAAUGUUUCUGCUCUCAGACUCAAGACUAUCGUCGCGGGCUCCAAAACCACUGUGAUUAAUCUUCUAAACAAGUCUUGUAUCACUUAUUGAGGGGAAAUCUUGCACGAAAUUGUCAAAUUAAGGGUGGUGCUUCUAUUCGUUAUGCAGAUAUUCAAGCUAGAGAGUUCUAUAGAAACCAAAUGAGUACAGAUGUUUUUGGUUGCACUGCGUUUAAGUUGCUGAGUGAACUUUGAAAUGUCACUGUACUAAUUGUGGAUAAUUUGUUCUUAGAGGUAUAUGCUUUGUCUAUUUCUUAUACUUCUUGAUUUUUCCUUUUUUCUUUUGCUAAUAACUUUAUUUUUUUUGGCUCUUUGAUGGAUAAUGCAUUCUCUUAGUUUUUCUUUUAAAGAAUACAAGUAACCCCAUGAUAUUCCUUGGUGUUGCAGCUUCUCUUCUACAAGGCAAGUAAUUCAUGGACAUAUGCAAAUGCAAUCACUUUUCACAAGCUGAGUAUUGUCUAUCUGUCUGUCUGGCCAUCCAAGAAACGUAUCUUGAUGAAUUAUAAUCUUCCUCAGUAGAAUGCCGAAUGUACUUAUCGCUGACUUUCCUCAUGCUUGUGAGUUCCUAAACUUAAAUUCCAUUCACAUUCAAUGCAUAUUUAUUAGCCAGUAUUGUUUGUGGCAGUGUGUUUUUAAUUGUUAAAUGCAAGUUUAUCAUUGUUAUUGCUAUUAUCGUUUUGCUUUUCUGAAUAAAUGUCAAAAUGUGCAGGCACAAGGACAGCCUUCAUAUGCGUCUGUCUUGGCAUGGAAUUCAGAACACCUUGAGACUGUUGGGAUGCCAAAUUUUCUGGAAUAUAUUUACAUUACCUUGUUUGUUGGACAAGAAAUUGAUUUUUGCCUCGUGAAAGCUUUCCUUGGGAAUGCAAAAGCAUAGUGAAGUUGACCAUCUUUACCCGUUGGAAUGGUACUGAAGCUGAUGAUGGAAAGAAGUCUAAGAUUAUUGAGAAGUUAUGGCAUUUCCAAG